CCAAGUUUCAUCUUUUUCGAUGCUUCCGUAGCAAGAAUGUAACUACCGACAGCCCUAAGUUCUGAUUCUCCACUGUUUGGUGGAUUUCUCAGUUAAAAUAUUAACAGUAAUUGUUGCAUGUUAAAGCCCUGUUUUUUUUUUCCUUUUCUGCAUAGCAUUUAAAUACAAAGAAGCUUGUAUUAGAUCACAAAUGAACAGGCCAAAUGAAUGUAUAGAAAUGAGCUGGCCAAAUGACUGAUAAGCCUACCUUGUUCUUCAAGCUAAUUAAUAUCUCCAGAAAAAUCUGCCCGGGUUACUUACUUUAGUCCGGUUCGCACCUGAAAUAAGACCAACCGAACUUGAAAAUUACAUGGAAGACAAUUCAAUAUGCAAAUCCAAGGAUUAUAGGUAAGUUUUUGGUCGGAAUUUUACACACUUAUACUGCACUUGAAGUCAUUCAAAUGUCACAUUUGCUCAAAAUAUAGAUAGAGCACGAGUAAUGAAUCAAAAGGCUGGAUGAAUCACUAAUCUGACCGGGAAAAAAGUGGAAAGAUGUUUCUUGACAAAAAUGUAGCUCCGAAAAGGGCCUUUGGCCCAUUGAUAAGACGCCAUCAGUACAAAUGUGACACUAGUUUUAGCUUAUAGUUCAAAAAGGAUACCUUUUAACCUUCCAGCAUUGUACAAAGCCUCUUCCGCGAUGGGCCUCCAUUGCUCCGCACAUGAGUAGUUGAUUCCGAGACCAACACUAAGUCCUCUUAGAAGAUGAACCGUACGAAGAACAGAAAACAAUUCCUCUGGAAAAGACUGGCAUAACCAAGAAAAAAGAAUUCACUAUAAUCACAGGAAACAAAUAGACAAUUUUUUUUUUUUUUUGAAGAGGUUACAUGCACAAUUACAAUUACAAUCAAUACAUCUGAAUAACUACAGCCAAAAGCAAAUUAGAAAGCACAACCUGACUGAUGAUCGGAAUAUAUCCAGACCUAGUCCAAAAUCAAUUAGGACAGAGCUCACACAUGGUGGAACAUAAACCAGAAAAAAUCUAGACUGACAACCCACACAUGGAUAACAUAGGGUGGGACCCAAAUCUAGAAUCUCAAAGUUUCCGGGAAUUCAACCUUACCAUUAAGCCAAAGGCGAACAAAUAAACAUAAAUGCUAAAUGAAGGGACAAAUCUUGUAAGAAUGAGUACUCUGAAUAUCAUCAAACAGUAAGAACGAACAAUGAUCAGCUCCCUUACCUGUACACCGAUUUUUUUUAUGGAAGCAUCUUCUGAGAAUGGUUGCAACAUUACCACUCCUGGGGGUAGUUUUGUAUCAAACAUCGUCUGUGCCAACCGAAGCAUUUCCUGUUGUUCAUUCUUACAGUUGCUUACAGUAUCUAUCCCAAGUUCCCUAAAAGCAAAUAUAAGAAAAUUAAAACCAAUUAGAUAUUGAAAAAGUUAAGGAUAACAACGUCAAACCAACAGCUACUAAAGUUAUUCAUAGAUUCAUGUUGACCAUCCUGCAAGUUGCCUAUUAUUCUUAUUCUAUGCAACAGAAAUGACACAACCCGGAAUUAAGUUCUGUUUUUGUCUGGUCAACCAACUGAAAUUUGUAUUGAAAGGUUACUAAAAGCAUAGAAACACCUAUAGCUUUCUGUUGCUUUUACAGGAUUACUAUCAGCCAUGGCAAGAACCAAAUCAGCAAAUCCAACCUCAACUGGUCUGGUAGAUCCUUCACUUGCCCGUAGUCUAGCAAUGCAACCUGACUUAAGCAGAAAAAGCAAAAUGAAAUAGUCGCACAAUCAGCAUGGAGAGUUUGAAAGUUACAACUAACAAAGCUCAAUUCAAUCAGAAGUAUGCUAUAUGGAAGAUUAUAAAUGAAUAAGAAUUGGAAAAUGUAGAAAUCCAAAGCUAAUCCCUACGAUUUUUAAGGAUUAGUUUCCCUAGUUUCCUUGUUCGAAUAAAGAAAAUAGGAAGGUUCUCCCUAGAAUUUUUCUUCUUUUUUUUUUUUUAGAGAUUUAAUUUGAUUGUAUCUCAAUAUGAGGGAUUUGAUUAUUACUAGAAUUAAGAAAGAACUAGUGACAAACAUGUCACUUUGUCCUAUGAAUUCUAGCAGCUUCAUGUUUAUGGAAUAAGAAAAUUAGAGGGUUAAAUCACUUUUUAAGGCUUGAAUUAGCAACUUUUUCCACAUUGGAGUCUGAACUAUUUUUACCCAAGUUAGACCCAGAACUUGACAACUUUUCUCAUUUGGUGCCUGAACUUUUUUUAUUCAAGUUAAACCCUAAACUUGGCAAUGGUUCCCACACUGGGGCUUAAACCUCUUUUGUCCAAGUUAGUUAAAAUAAAGUUCAAGCCCUAAUGUGUAAACAGUUGCCUAGUUCAGGCCCCAAUGUAGGAGCAAUUGCUAAGUCAUAAAUUGAACGUGAAAAUGUUGAUAGCUUGCUAACAACACUGACAGCUUAGGCAGAUAGAUUCGUAACAGCCUAGCUUGACCAAAUGGCAUGAUCUUAGUAAUUACUGAUUAUUAGGGACUUUUGAAUUAUGUACAACUUACUAGUUACCUUAGAUAGGCCUAGAUUGCUUGUAAAUGUAUUUUUCCACCUCAAUUCAAGAGUAAGAAUCAGUUUUAUCUCUAAACCUUUUUCUAAAUUUUGAACUCUCUUGAAAAUACUCAGGUUUAUUCAUGGUAUUGGUGCUAUAAUUCCAUAUUUAGAGGUCCAAUUUUGAAUUUUUAAGAGACUCUUAAACGCUAGAAUUCAAAAUUUUGGUACUUGCACACUUAGCCCGUGCUUUUUAUUCUCACUGCCACCUAUAAGAGAUCCUUAGCCUUAUUUUUGGCAAAACUCAAAAGUUCAGCAGCCUCUCUCUUUGUGCUUCAGUCUCACACGCUGCCAAAAGGAUUUUCACACUCAUCCACAUGCCAGCGCAUGAAGCACACCCCCUAGAGGUGGUCUUUCCAAUUAUCGCUGUUGACUUCCUUGGAUUAUUUCCUUGGUUUUUCCAAUUAAUAUAAUUUUUUUGUAGCAUUUAAUUUGAAUAUACAUCAUAAAUGAGAAGAGUGGAUUUAUAAUUUCUCACCAAUGGGCUUUUGCAAAAGCCAAAACCUGGAUUUCUAGCUUUUUGGUUUGGCUUGAAAAGCUAGUUUGAAGGUAAAAGUUAGUCAUUUAGCAAUUAACAUUGCUUAUGAGUCGAAAAGCUGAUUUGGCUUGAAAAGCAAGUUUGAAAUGCAAUGCUAAACAAAGCUUUAAUAUUAUUUCGGUUUUUCUAUCUCUAGCAACCAAUCUAGACUGGCCUCUUCAUUGGUUAGAUGUAAAAAAUGUUUUUUUUCUCAAUGAUGAAUUGGAAGAAGAAGUGAAUAUGGAAAUCCUAUCGGGCUUUGAUACAGGAGGCAAUGCAACCAAAGUCUGUAAGCUUAGAAAGUCUCUCUACGGUUUCAAGCAAUCUCUUAGAGCAUUGUUUGACAAGUUCACAAAUGAAAUUAACAAUUAUGGGGUAUUCCCAAGGUCAAGCUGAUCAUACCUUAUCCACAAAUUUCUCUCCUAAUGGAAAAGUUGCUAUUUCAUUGUUUAUGUUGAUGAUAUUAUUGUUGCUGGGGAUUAUACUAAAGAAAUCAACUACCUAAAAGAAGUACUUGCUAAGGAGUUUGAGAUCAAAGACCUAGGAUCAUUAAAAUAUUUCCAAGGUAUGAAGGUUGCGCAUUUAGAGCGAUUUGAUUAUUAUAAUUGAGGAAACAGUGGCAAACUUGUUUUCAUUUUUCUCCCUUGAAUUCUAGCAGUUUCAUGUUUAUGGAAUAAGAAAAAUUACAGAGUUUUUCUCUUUGAAAUUCUUCAUCUCUCAAUUCUACUUCAUCUUUGCAAUUCUACAGAAAGAAGUUUAUAAUAGAACUUAAAAUCUUAAAAGAAAAAAGACAGACAACUCACCUCUGAACCUUUACAGAUCAGUAUAUUUCCGGGAUGGGGAUCUGCAUGGAAGAAACCGGUCUUUAGUAUCAUCUGUCCAUAAGCUAGUGUCAAACUCUUAAGUAUAUUCCUGCAUUCACAAGAGUUACUUAAGAUAAAUGCAGUAGAGUAUAGCUGGUACAGUACGACCAAAUGAGACAAGAGACCCAAUAGUCUCUUUGGUAUUUAAGAUGCUUACUGCUUUGCUGAAGUUGCCAUCUUACCACCAGGAUUUAUUCCUCUUUUAUCCAUUUCAUCACCAAGAUUCAAGAUUGGGACUCCGUCGAUAUAGUCCAUCACUAAAACCCUCCUGUUUAAACAGGUAAACGUCGCAUUACUGAAAUGACAGCACUGUAAUGAAGCAAUAAAACAAGAAAAAAAAAAACAAUAUAAAAUGCAUCAUCAAGAAAACAUGAAGAAAAAUAGACAUAAAUACAGAAGGAGCUGAGAUCCGUAAUCCCUUUGUCUCAAAAGCCAUUCCUCUUUUCUUGCUAAAGAAUGCAGCUUGAUAGUCUAUCAACUGUAUUAUUGUCCUUCCAGGAUCCCAAUACCUUUAACUAAAUAGGUAAAACGUUACAUGGUUUAUCCAUCGUUGAAAAAAGCGAAUAGGAGGUCAAACCGGUUGGACUAUCUAUUUCUGAUUUUUUAUGGUUCAGUCUUUAAAAUUUUCCAAUUCAACUUAUAAAGUUGAACUGCCAAACCAACAGAUUCCUGGUUCAACCUGUUGAAUUAGCCGGUCUGGUUUUUAAAGCCAUGGUUUUGUUUAAAAAGCUAAAAUAUUUUAAGGGUCAAUGAUGCAACAUUAACCUGGAUAACAAACCUCAUUACUCUACAUCGGUACAGCCUUUAUGCUUGUCUAUCGAACCAAUAAAGACAACACCAAGUCCUAAACUACAACAUGUAAUGCAUUUUCAAACAUCUUUUCCACAUAUCCUUGGAUAGUCCUAGGACAAACCUGUACAAGCAAUAUGAAGAAUUACAACAAAAUGAACUUGCCUUGUAGCCAAACCCCGAAGCACUCUUGGAACCAGGACCGGAGUCUUUUUGUUAUUCUCGUAUAAGAAACGGCGAAUUCUCUCCAUAGCAUUGGCUUCUCUUAGAAAGUCAAACUCAUAUCUGAUCUUGACAACAGAAAGGAUAAAUAAUUAACGACAUGCAGAAGAACAAAGAAAUCCAAAUCCAAGUGGAGCGAUACUCUCACUUUACAUAAUCUGAAAAGUACAUAAAACAAGGAUAGAUGUGUUUUGCAAGGAACAUCAGUGUGAAUACAGAUACCUGUUUUUCCAUUUCCUUGGUAACGGAAAACAGAUCAAAUUUGAUAUCAGUCUUUUGAAUGUACAGUGCAAAUGCUUGCAAGUUACGGAUGUCGGUCAUCAUAAGAUCCAGGAUUCCCGGAUGUUGCACCUGCCAUAAACUUGAAUGGUCAAAAUCACAUGGACAUAUGAGGCUUUAAAAUCAUUUUCAAGGAGACUUACCUUAACAACAACAUCGUUCUUAUCACCUCUCAAUCUUGCUCGAUGAAUCUAAUUCAGAUACGAACAUAUGUUAAGGUAUAUCCAUUCGGUUCUUGUAAGCAUUAUCCUAUUUCCGGAACCCGAGAACCCCACAAAACUGUUAAACUUUAUGGUAGCAAUAAAAAAGCAAAUGUGCCAUAUCCUGCUGUAUGUUGGCAAGCAUGAAGCUUAUUUAAUGAAAAUGUUCAACCUUCAAAGAUUUUAUAUGUUUAAAUACAUAAAUCUAUACCCUUCCCAGCAUGCUCAUAUAAAACUUCAAGCCAGGUAAAGAAAUGAAAAAGUAAUACCUGCGCAAUCGAUGCUGAACCGAGAGGAUUUACAUCAAAAUUCUCAAAAAUUUCACUGAUGCUUCGACCAAACUCCUCCUCUAAAACAAGUUGAACAGCAUCAAAUGGUGUUGCUGGGGCUUGAUCACACAAAGUAACAAGCCUUUUCACCCAUGCUGCUGGGGCUAGGUCCGGUUUUCCAAUAAUCUGAGCAAUCUAAUUCAAUUCAAGCAUCCACCAAGCAAUUAAAACAGACAACAAAUUACAAUAUAUCACCCUACCGAUGAACAACAUCCAUGACUCGAUUAUUGGGAAUAAAAGUAGGUAAAAGUUCCAUGGAGUCCCUUGUAUUAUGAGUCAGAUUGAAUUUUACCCCCUCUACUAAAAAAGUAGGCAAAUUAGUCCCUAUACGUUAGAUCAAAGAGCAAACUAGUCCUUUUGUUAAAAGUUUCAUCCAUUUCUGUUAAAAAUUGGUCCUUGUACGUCAACAUAAGGCACACGUGGCACACCAUGUGUAUUUGUCUGGUUAUUCCGUUAGCCACGCCAGUUUUUAAUAGUAGAAAUGGAUGAAGUUUUCUACAGAAAUGAUCAAUUUGCUCUUUGACCUAACGUACAAGGACUAAUUUGCCCAUUUUUUGAGUAAAGGGGGCAAAACGCAAUCUAACUACUAGUACAGGAGUCUCCAUGAUAUAUUUACCAAUAAAAGUAUUCAGUACCAAAGUGAAAAGGGAAAUAUCAGUAAGUAAAACAGGAUUUCAAAAGGAACAUAAACAAAUUUGAAUAUACAGGUAAAAUUCAGUCUUUAAUUGAACUGAAAGAACACAAAAAGCAAAUGCUGUGCAGUUUGCCAAUAGCUAAGAACAGUAAAAUCAACAAAAGGAGCAAUCAAUAAGAAUCAAACAGUACAAAAAAGAGUAAAAACAAACAAACCCAUUUAAAUUUGAACUGAAAGAACACAAAAGCAAAGACUGUAAUUUGCAAAGAGCUAAGAACAGCAGAAUCAACAGAAGGGGCAAUCAAUAAAAAUCAAACAGUACAGAAAAAGUAAAAACAGACAAACCCAUUUUAAUUGAACUGAAAGAACACGAAAGCAAAGACUGUAGUUUAAAGAACUAAGAACAGCUAAAUCAAUCAAUAAGAAUCAAAUAGAAAAGAAACUAAAAAACAGAAAGAAACCCAAAUUUGAACCAUUUUCAAACCAAUCAAUGUGUAUACCUUAAGGAAAAACCCACCAAGAUCAUAACACAUAGCGUAAAUUUUAUCAGCAGCAAGCUCAUGUUGUUUAUCCCACAUUGCUUGUUUCUUUUGUGGAUACUUCACCAAACUCACUCGAAGUUGAAACACCUAUCAUUUCAACAAUUACCCAACAAUCAAAAACUAUCAAAUUAAGAAGAAGAAGAAGAAGAAGAUAAAGAAAGACCUUAUAGCCAGUAUAAAUAUCAGCUGCUCGAACCCAGAAUUGAAAUGAACGAUGCCAAGGUCUUAAAUGAAGAGAAACCUUGUCUUGAAUCUCUUUGAAAUCAUAACCAAAAGCCAAUGCAUUCAUUUUAAUUUCCCUCAAUUUUGGGGCUUAUUAGUAAUUGUAACUGAUGAAUAAAGUAAUGAAAAAAAAAUCAAGGAAUAUGGUUUUUGAAUAACAUAAAAGAACUACGAGCUUGGGUUCUUAUUACGGGACCCUUAAACAGUAAAACUUUACAUAGACAUGAAAGGGUGAAGUAGAAGCAACAGCAAUUAGUUUAAGGGUUAAAAUUGCCUAUAGUCCUUGUACUUUUCAUAAAUUAGAAAUUUAGUCCUUGUACUUUUAUUUUAGGAAUUAAUUUUUAUACUUUUCAGAUUUUAAAAUUCAGGUUCAAUUGUUAACAUUGUUUUAUUUUUUUUAACUUGUUGUUAUGAUAUUUUGAAAUACAAAAAUUACUCACUUAAUAGUCAUGUAAUUAAAUAAGGAUGUUAUAAUUAACUUCAAUUUAACCAAAAAAUUUUAAUAGUAUUAAAAGUUGAUGGUUAAUUUUGAAAUCUGAAAGUAAAAUGGCUAAAUUCCUGAAAAUACAAUUAUAAAGACUACAUUUCUAAUUUUAGAAAAGUACGGGACUAUAGGCAUAUUUUAACCUUGGUUUAAGCUAUAAACGUGGCUGAGAAAGCGAAGAAAGUGGGAUUCGGGGUGACCAUUUUUGCUUAUUGCAAUUCGUGAAAGGGUUAAGACCGGUCUACUUCUUCCUUGUCUUUCAAGGCUUUGCUUUUGGAUGUACUUCUUUGUUUUUUCCCAAUCAAAUAGACCAAUGGGGACAGUUAAUAGUGACAAGCGACAAUCAAAUGAAAAGAAAAAAAAGAGAGGAAACUCACCAUUAGACACUAAAUUAUAGGUAACUUUUCAUUUUGGUCAUUUAACUUAAAAAAAUUACAAUUUGGUCAUUGAACUAAUUGAAAGUUUUCAUUUCAGUCAUUAGGUUGUUAAAAUCAGUACGACCUUCUUUGUUUGCACCAAUCGAAAACUCUCAUUUCCCUUCUUUUCUACAAUUCAAUCUUUUUUUCAUAAAAUAGCUUUGAAUGUCACAAAUUUGCGAACCAAAAUACAAAUAGUUUUCUUCUCUGAUCUCUAGCAUUGACUGUCAAAUCGACUUGGAUUUAAAGUAUUUUUUCUACUUGUUGAUGUGUAUUGAUCGACUGUAUUGAUCGUCAAAUCGUCGCUUGGAGUUUGCUACUCAAACUUUAAAAAAAAAAACUAACAAUCCAAUGAUUUAAAUAAAAACUUUUGAAUAGUUCAUUGACUUAAAUUAAAAUUUUCAAUUUGUUCAAUGACCAUUUUGUAACAUUUUAAAGUUAAAUGAUCAAAACGUAAAAGUACUCAUAAUUUAAUGACCUUAAAUGUAGUUUACCCAAAAUAUAAUUAGGAGACAACAUUCUUUUUUUUACCAUUUUUUUAUUAAACAGACUUAACUAAUUAUAAUCUACAAAGAUCGACUCAAUCAAAUUAAAGUUCAAGAAUCAACGUAAUUGAACUAACUUUUUGUUGAUAAGUUUGGUUGGUUAAUUAACUUUAGCUGACUUUAGUUAUUGGGCUUAAAUAAUAUAUAUUUAUUUUAUAUAUUUUUUAAAAAUAUUUUAAAAUUAAAUUACACUAUUAGUCCUUAUACUUUACAAAAGUUGUGGAUUUAAUUAUUGUACUUUAAUUUAAACAACUUUAAUCCUUAUACUUUUUUAAUCAGUCAAUUUUAGUCCCUAUACUUUUCAACUUCUGAAAUUUUAGUCAUGACUCAAACCGUAGCAGUUAAAUCUAUUCUGUUGAGUUCAAUUACUGGGCAUAUACUAUGCAUACAAUUACAUAUUUAAUCCAUAUUAUUCAAUUGGAUCAUUUAAAAUUGUCAUACUUUUGAAUUUUGAAAUUCCAGCCUUUAUACAAAUGACAGUUGUUAACCCAUUAAUUAGAUUUUUAGUAAGUAAUAUGUGAAAAUAACAAGUUGACAUGACGUUACAUAUGUGAUAACAUAUUUACCACAUCAGUUUUAGAAAUAGCAAAACUUAAUAAAUUUAACAAUUAUUGUUUGGUGAGGAUUAAAAUUUGAAAAUUUGAAAAAUAUAGGAACUAAAACUAAUCAAAUUAAAUACAUGGAUUAAAUCCACAACUUUCAAAAACUACAAGGGCUAAUAGAAAAAUAUAUCCUAUUUUAAAUAAUCAAAAGUAUUAAAUUAAGUCAGGUUUUUUCGGUCAAGACGGUUUGAAAAUUCAAAAACCGAUAACUGAACGAAAUAACCAACAAAAAAGAAUCCAUAAUUGAAAAGACAACCUAAAUCGUCUAAACUGAAAUCGACUAAACCGAUUGUGUCAGUGUAAUCAAUUUUCUUCAUUUUAACCAAAAAUUGUUCUCCUCUAAAAAUAACAAUCAAAUUAAAUCAAUGCAAUCAUUUUAUUUUUAUUCUAUCAUUACAAUGAGAGAAGAGAAUUAUAAAUUUUGAACUCAUGUCAUCAACAUGCUAGAGACGAGAUUUAUUCACUAUUACAAACAAAUCUUACUAUUUUUCAAAAUUUGUUAAUGCAAUAAAUUAUAAUAGAAGGACAUCCAACUAUGAUAUUUCUUUUAUGAGAAUUAAGUAGUAAACGUGGCUGUCCAAGCUCAAGUGAGAUAUUUUGAGCCAAUAACUCGUGCUUAGGCCUAACAUAUUAUUACACAUUCCUUAAGCAAGUCCUUAAAUUGUUUUAAUAGUUAAAUAAACCCCUAUGAUUUUACCCAUAAAAGCCAUUGAUUUUAUCAUUAAAGUAAAAUUAAGCUCUUAUCUUAAUUUCUUGUUAAUGUAAUGAAAUUAUACACUUUUAACACCAAUAGAAAAUUUAAAAGAGUAAUCAAAAUUUUCAAAAUAAUGAUUAAGUGUGUUUUAUAUAUAAACACUUUCAACGAAUUUAAGUAUUAUUUCGUUUUACUUUCAAGAAUAUUAAUAUUAUUUUAUUUAUAUUUAAUAAACUAUUAUGAUCAAAAUCAAAUCAACAUAAAAAUAGAAAGUAAUUUAAAAUUUUGAAUUAAUUUUCUUUAAUAUUAAAAUCAAGGACUUUCAUGAAUAAAAAUAAUAAGUUAGAGACUUAUUUAACUAAAAAAUAAUAUAAGAGAUCCUUUAAACAAUGUAUAUUAAUGUAAGGGGUAUAUUAUCAAAAAAAAAAAAUCUUAUUUUCAAUGUACGAUCUUGUCUGUAAUAAUGACAUAUCAAUGUCUUUAAUUUGGGACAUGUUUGUUUUUGUUGAUCACAUUUUUCAUGUUUUUUUAAAAUAUGUUUUUUUAAAAGGGUAAAUUUCACAAAUAGUUAUUUAACUGUAAAAGAAAUUUAUUUUAGGCACUCAAAAUAAAAAAGUUUGUAAAUUAAGCAUUUGUGUUAUAUAAAUCGGUCAUUUUAGUCACUCUUGUCAAAAUCACAAAUGGUAAGCUCACAUUAUAGUUAAAAAAUUAAUAUAAUAAUAAAUUUAGUCCUAAAUUUUUACAUAUUAUAUCAAUUUAAUCAUAAUUUUAAAAAAUUAACUUUCAAAAUUUACAAAUAGUAUCAAAUUGGUCUUAAUUCUAAAAAAAUAAAAAAAUAUAUAAAAAUACAUAAAUAUUUUCAAAAAAUAAUAAUAAAUUUAAAUUUUAUAUUAAUAUUAAAAAAAAAAUAGAAAACCCACCACCACCACCACUCCCGUCCCUCUCCCUCUUUGCUGCUGCAAAUUCAUGUUAGGGUUAACUGAAGGAAAAUGGAAGCUGUUUUGGAGAAGUGCAAUGGGUGAGAAGGCGAAAGAGGAGUGGUUUUACAAGUUGGAGAUUUAAAAGGAUUGACUUUGGAUGGGAUCUUAAGUGAUCUUGUUAGUGGAAGUUUAUAGAAGGAAACUAGGGUUGAUUGGAGCUGAGACAGUGUUGAAAUAUGUAGAAAGUUUUCUGUUAAGUUUCCCAGUUAAGAAAAAGACUGGGAUUUGCAAUUGUUGCCCAUUACUUCUUCCAAUACUUCAUUUGAUGAGGCUUACCCCAAAUCCGGGAGGGUAUUUUUAUUUUAAUUACAAGGCUUCAAAUAUAUUUCGUAUGAAAUUUAAAUUAGAUGUGCUCAUAGAUCGGGUUCGGAUCAGAUUGAAGUAUGAUAUUAACAUAUUUUAUAUUUGUGUAAAUCCGACUCGACUCGAAAUAUGUUAUUAAUAUAAUUUUGUCUAAACUUGUCUAUAUUUACAAAAGACUAAUCCAAACUCAUUUUAGACUUACCCAUAUUAUUUUAAAUUUUUUUAAACAUAUUUAUUUUAUUUUAAUAUUUAAUAAUUUUAUACAUUUUUUAUUUAUUGAAUGUUUUUAUAUAGUCAUAUUAACAUUAUUUUAAUGUUUAUAUUAGAUUAAUAUUAUAUCUUUAGUAUAAGUUUAUUUUUUAACUAUUUUCUAAAUUACAUAAAAUACAGAAAUAACAUAAUAUAAAAUAUUAUAAAUUUAAAAAUAGAUCAAGCUCGAGCUUGAUUUAAGUCCGAGUCUAACCCACAUUUUAAAAAUGUCUAAUUUUUUUACCUAAUCUUAUUUUUCAGUGCCUAAUAUUUUUAUAUAAACUCUCUCAAAUUUCGAGUAAAAUUAAAAAAAAUAAAUUAAAACCAUGUCUUUUUUUUGUUAUUGUUUAAAAAAGUAAGUUCUUUCAAUAGUUUUUACCCACCUAAUGUUGUUGUUACUCUUUUGAGUACAAAAACAUUCAAUAAAAUAAUCGUACUGUACUGCUAGUUUAGGAAAAAAGGUUUUAUACCCCAUGGACUUGUGACGGUAGUGGUGGAGGGAAGGACGGAAAGAUGGUCGGGGGAUUUUUAUUUUAUUUAAUAUUAAUAUAUUUAUAUUUAUUUAAUAUUAAUAUUAACAUUAAUAUAAAAUUUUAAUUUAUCAUAUAUUUUUUGAAAAUAUUCAUGUACUUCUAUAUAUAUUUUUUGAAUCUUUUAGAAUUAAGAUAAAAUUGAGAUCAUUUGUAAAUUUUGAGAAUUAAUUUUUAAAAUUAUGAUUAAACUAAUAAUGUAAAAUUUGAUGGUUAAAUUUUUUAUUAUAUAAUUUUUUUAACUGUCAUGUCAGCAUGUUAUUUUAAAAAUGACAUAAUUUCAAUUUUAGCCUCAACUUUUACAUUUUUGGGGUUAAUUUUUCCCAUUUUUAGUUAAAUUUGGCCCUUAUUCUUUUGAAAAUAGUCAAAUUUAAUCAUCAAUCUUUCAAAAAAGAGUCAAUUUGAUAUUCUUCAACGAAAAUACUAACUAAAACGUUAAAUUUUUAAUAUUUCAAUCUGCAUGGCAAUCUACUACUCCAUGCUAAUUUUUUGGAAAUUCAUGAACUUUUUAUGAUUUUUUAAUUUUAUUAUUUAUUUUUUAAUAUUUUUAUAAGUUUAAAAUUAUUUAUUGACAUAAAAUAUAUAAAAAAUAAUUUUGUGUCAGCAUGAAUAAUUCAGUUAUUAUUUUAUAAUUUUUAAAAUUAAAUAAUCAAAAUAUCAACUUGUUACCGUAUUGAAUUUUUUCUCCUUGCUUACCCUGUUACAACUUUAUACGCAAUAAUAGACGGGGAUUGCAAGUGACAGGGACAGGACAAUAGUAUUUUAUUUACUUGUAUUCUAUUUGGCUAGUGGUCAUCAUGAGAUAGUUGAAUCUGUUAUCGGUAUUAAUAUAUUUUAUGUUUAUUUUGAGUUGAUUUAAAAUAUGUGUUAAAAAUUUUAUUCAAAUUUGUUUGGCUUCAUAAAUGAUUAACUCAAAUUUAUUUUAGGUUUACUUAUAUUAUUUUUUUUAUUUUUAAAAUUUAUAUUUAUAUUAUUUUAAUUAAUUAUUGAAUACUUUUAUAUACUUUUCAUUUAUUAAAAUUAUAUAUAGAGAUAUUAAUAUUUUUUUCUUAUUUACAUUAAAACAUUAUAUAUUACUAUAGAUUUAGCUUUUAUGUGAUAGAAAUUAAAUAAUAUAUAAAAAUUAACAUAAUAUAUUAUAUUAUAAACAUAGAAAACGGGUUAAAUUGGGCUGGGCUUAGGUGUUUUAAAUGUUGAAUCAUGAGCUUAGCCCAUAACUUAAACGGACUUAAUUUUUUCUCUAAGCCUAUUUUUUCAAACCUAAUAUUUUUAUCAAAUCCUCUCAAAUUUUGGAUAGGUAGCCACACACCAUUGGGUUUUUUUUUUUGACAAAAUUAUAGAGGUAAAUUUUAAAUAUUAUAAUAUGCUCUAAAUUUUUUUAUCAGGAAUUUAAUCCUCAUACUAUUAUUUUCAAGAAUUUUGUCUAGUUAUUUUUCAAAAUUAAAAAUUUAAGUUUAGUUGUAAAUACUGUUAAAAUUCUUUUUUUUUAAAUAAAAAAAUUUACUUGUGUGACAUUCUAAAAAGAAAUAAAAAUUCACUUGAUAACUAUAUGAUGAAAAAAUGACAUUGUAAUGGAUAUGAAUUUAAUAAAUAAUUCUAACAAUAUCAACAAUUUUUAAAAAUCACGUUAAUAUUUUAACAAAAAUAAAAUAUUUAGACUAACUAAUAACAUUUUAAGCAUAGAGGAGUCAAAUAAUAUAAAAUUAAAGCAUAAAAAUUAAAUAUUAAAUCUAAAUGUAGUUUAGGGAUAGAAAUUGAAAUUUAACUAUUAUAUUAAUAAUGUAAAAAUAUAUAUAAUUGCGUGUGAAAGAACAGAAGGUCUUAGGGCUUCCUUUUAUAUAUAUAUAUAGUAAUAUAGAUUUUGCAUCAUAUUUUGCUUUGUGUUGCUUUCAAUUCAUUUUUUUACUAAUGAUUUCUUAACUUAAUAUUAUAAAAUAUAAUUUUAAUACAUGAAAUUUAAUAUAUAAUAUAUUCAUUUCUCUAUUACAGGACUUGAUUAAAUUAAUUCCUCUUUGAUUAAAUAGAUCAAUUUAAUCUCUUGUUAUGGUGUUCAUCAUUACUCACCCACUACCCAAUUACUUGAUUGGGUAUUGACCCAUAACCUACAUGGUUCGCAUCUUGGAUUCACAUGUGAGGUGUUCACAUCCUUUCACGGGCUUGUACGAUGUGGGUUCGUACUACUAUGCAAAAAAACCCACUCAUAGAAAAUAAGUGUUGAUCUUAGAAUAAAGUAUGUGUUGGCAUGCAUAUGGACCUAUUUACGACGCCACAUUCAUGAACAAUAACUGUGUCAUAUAAAUAGACAAUUUAAUCAUUUUGAGGGAUAUUCACACUAAAACACUCAACAUCCUUAUACAAUUAAAAAGAAUCAAAUAAUGUCAAAUUAGAAUAAAAUUAAUAUUUACUAUUUAUAUCAUUCACUGUUUAACAAAGUUAAUAUUUUUAAAGUUCCUAUAAUUCUAUACAUGAAUUUUUUUCUUCAGAAUUGAACGACAAUUGAAAAAAAUAUCGAGAUAUUUUUAUAUAAUAAAUGUGAACUUAUUUGAUUAUUCUUCUUAAUAAUAUAGGAACCAAAUUAAUUUAUUUAAUAAUAGAGAGACUAAUUUAAUUAAAUCCGUGUAACAUAGGAAUGUCCUAAAUAUUUAACUUAAAAUAAGACUUUCACUCCCAUAACCGACUCAAAGAAAAUCAGGGAUACUCAAAUACAAUUUUGAAUUUAAGUAGAAAAUAAAUUUAAAAAAUAAUAAUAUAAUGAUCAUAAAUUUAAUUUUAAAAUAAUUUUAAAAUAUUAAAAUUUUGUAAAUUAAAUAAUCAUUUUUGCAUUUAACUUUUUAAUAUUAUUGUAUAUUUUUAACUGUAACUCAUAUUUUAAAUAUUUUAUUAUUUUUAGAUUUUUUAUAUUCUUUGUAUGAUAUUUUCAAUUUCUUUUUGCAAGUAAAACAAAAUCUAUAGACAAAUAUUAAAUUACAUUACAUGGUCAAAUUAUAAUGAAGAAGACAUUAUAUAUUAAUAGGUAAUCAACGAUCCAUGUAAUGUCCAAAAUCUUAUAUGAAAAAUAUAUUAUCAUAUGUAUAAUAUCAUAUCAACUUGUUAUUUUUAUAUAUUACCUAAAAAAAACCACACUAUUUUACUUAAUGUAUUUAAUGACAACCGUUUUAAGUCAAAAUUGAAAUUUCGAAAUUUGAAAAGUAUAAACACUAUAAUAAUGAGAUGAAAAAACAUGAAAUAAAAUUCACAAUUUACACAUAAUAUGAAACACAGCAAAAUUUAAUUUCAAUUUUUAAAAAAUACAAAAAUUAAAAUUGAUCAAAUUACACGCAACUCACCCAUAAUAGGAUAAUUGAUCAUUGAAAUUAACCUUUUAAGUUCCAUAUAUUUGAAAAUCAUAUCUGUACCCAAGUUUAUCAUAGAUAUAUACAUAAAAAGGAAAUGAAAACUCGGAAUAACAUAAAUUAAAAUGAAAAUCCUGAAAACUGGAAAGAAUUCAAUUAAGCCAAAAUCAAGAAUUUAUAACCUGAAAUUAGGUUGAAUGAUAUAGAAUUUAAGAUGAAAUAUGGUUUAAUAAGGCAAGUCUCCUUCAGGAAGCUCCCAAUUAUCUUCUUCAUCCUCAUCCUUCUUACUGGUUUCCUCUCUAGAUUGUGCCGAAUCCUUCGGUUUCGGGCGUCUGAAAACAAGCAAAACAGAUCAUUCAAUAAACUAUGCUAUUCGGAUUUGGAUGUGAAUGCCUAAUACCAUUAGGUGUUUGAAUUUUAUGUAUUCGAAGGAGCUUUAGAACAGACAAAUCUAUAUACUCAUGUUCAAACAUGCAUCAGAUAUGGUUAUGACAAGUAUUUUUUAAGAAAAAUGAAGAAACAAAAAGCUCUCAUUGCCAUCCAUAACUUCCAUAUUAGUUAAAACCAAUGUUGAUUCGAUUGGAUCAGUCGGUUGAAUGGAGAAGCGGUGAUUCAUCCAGACCAGUAUAUACCACUCAACUAAGAGUUUUUUUUUAUUGGAUUAAUAAGUAAUAGUCAGUUGAACCAGUUAAAAAACUAAUAAAAAAAAAUCAGAAAUUCGGUUUUAAAUUUAAUUUAAAUUUAAAAAAAAAAUUAAUUAGAUUUGAUAAGAUUAGGACAUUUAACCCCUUACAACUUGUAUUAAAAAAAUUACAAUUUAAUAAAAUAGAUUUGAAAAUUAAAGUUCAAUUGAUAAUACUAUUAAUGUAUUUUUGUUAAAUUUGAAUACUGUUUGAUUUAAAAAUUAAAAUCCAAUUGAUAACAUAUAUUCAAAUUUAAUAGAAGUAUUGAACUUUAAUUUAAAAUUAAAACGCAAAGGGACUAAAUUUCGAAAGUCCAAAGAGUAGAGUGAUUAGAGGCAUAAAUAGACCAAAAAGAAACCUGCAAAGCACAAAAACAUUGGUCUAAUUAUAUCUCCAGUCCCUAUUCUCUCCAAACAUUUUAAAUUUAAUCCUUAAGAUUUUUUACUUCAAGAAUUUAAUCUCUCUACCUGGCUAAUUUAAAAAUGAAGUCUAAUUAAUAACAAGUUAAUUGAGCUAUGUUAAAUUUAUUUAAAUAUGUGCUAUCAAUUGAAUUAUAAUUUUUAAAUCAAAACUUUGAAUAUUAAAAUGUCAUAUAUUCAGAUUUAAUAGAAUUUCAUUAGUGGUGUUAUCAAUUUGGUUUUAAUUUUAAUUUUCAAAUCAGAUAAAUUGGUAGACUAAAUUCCUAAAAAUAAAAGUAGAAAGACUAAAUUUCAAAAGUUCGAAUAAUACAGAAACUCAGGGCACAAUUAAACCAACAAGAUUCUCUAUAAAAGUUUAAACCAACCACCAUGUAUUCAAAAGAAAAUUAGGCAACAUGAAAAGAGACAACUCACUCAAAAAUAGACAAUAGAUAUGAGAAUUUUAAGGAUAUAUAUAUAUAGCAACAUUGUUAUUGUAGGCAAAAGAAAGAAGGAAAAAAUAUAUAUAUUUGAAAAUUUAAGCAUUAAAAACAAAGAGACCAAAGUUUUGACAUGGCAAUGAGGAGGAGCAAUCUUCUAUUCGAGAAAUGAGCAAAUUGCAUUUUACUUCUCUACUCAUUAAAUGAGCAAUUAGUAGAUCAGAGAUUCCAUCUAUUUUACUGUAAAAAAUGGACUUUUAUAUGUGAAAAUGAAGUUAUAUAUCAUUCACCACAUAUAACUAUUUGAUUAGGCUAGUUUUUAACAGUAAAAAUAAAUAAUUUAAAAAAAAAAACCAAUUUAUUCUUUUAUCUAAUGUACAGUCACUAAUUUAUCUAUUUUCUAGGUAAAAAAAUAAAAUUAAAUCUUACUCCUAAUGCAAAAAUUCCAUGAUACUUUCACCCUCAAAUUUCAUUUAAUACUUUAGCACUCCACCUUGAAAUAAGCUCUUCUGGAAAAAAAGAGAUGCAUGUAUUAUCUUUUACAAAGUUCCACCCAAUAUAUAUCAUAAAAUCUUAUAAAAAUAAAGGAAUUAUAAUCAAAAUAUUAAAAUUAUAAAUUUUUAAAUUUAAAAAAUAAGGUUCUCAAAAACAGACGGAUGAUCAAACCCGCUCAAACCAUCCAUCCGAUUAGUUCUAUUAAAAAUUUAUAAAAAUAGAAAAUAGAAAAUAUCUCUUAAACUAGUUCAACCACUAAUUGAUUCCUACUAAUUUGCGAGUCAAUUAGACUAAUCUCUUGUUCCUGACCCGAUACUCGACAUAUUCCAGGACCAAUCAGUCCAGUUCCGAAACAUAAAACUAAACAAUUAUAACUAAAAAUAUUAACUUGAAAAAUUAAAUAAAUCGUCCAUGUCUGCGAACACAAGAAAAAAAAUUUAUGCAAAAAAAUCAUAUUCGAAAGCAGGGCCGGCGCUUCCAAACAUGGUAAAAUUAUGAUUUUAGUCCCUCUAAAAUCUGUAGAGUUAUAAAUUAAUACAAUGAUAAAAUUUCAUUUCAGCCCUCAAAAAAAUUCAAAAUUCAAAUUUGAAGAUCAGAAAAUUUUUUCUGCCUAUUGAGUUAAAACGAUGAUCCCAAUAUAAGACUAUGAAAAUUCACCAAAACUACAAACAUCAAACUCAAAGCACAGAUAAUAAACCCCAAUACUGAAUUUUUUGUGGUUAAAUUAAAAGCUAUGAAAGAAACAAGGGAAAAAGGGGAAGGAAAGCUAAACCUUCUGCGGUUCCUUUUAGAAGCUUCUCUUACUUUACGCUUCUUUUUUUCCUGUGAGCUCUCAAAGAACAUCCUCCUUUUGCAUUCCUGUAUAACACCGGCUUUAAACACGGCUCUCCUGAACCGGCCCAACAGCUUAUCCUCCGGUUCGUUGUCGGCCACCACCACCUGGACGUUGUAGUGACCCGAUUUGAAGAAAAGGGUAUUGGCGUAGGCUAAUGAUGGGCAUGUUAUGGCAUUAGUUUCAUCGGCCGGUGUGGUCAAACAGGAAGAAAGGCGAAUGGAUGUUGAUUUGGGGUCCGAUUGAGAAACCGGCGGGGCGAAAUUUGGUGGGUUUUGGGGGAGAUUUGGUAGUGAAUGUUGGGAACGGAGGAGAGAGGAAAGUGAUUUGGAGAGAGAAGUGAGGGAAAACGCCAUUGAUGCUGACUUGUGAUUCUUCUGGCUUUGGCUCCCACUUACAAUAUCAAUCUUUAAAUUUUGCUUUACUCAAGUUCUAUUAUAUUUGGGUAAAUUCGACUUGUAGCGAUUCUAACUAUUGAUACAUUUCAUUUUUGGUCACUCAAUUAUGAAUAUUUACAAAAUAAUUAUUCAACAAUUUGAUUUUAUCUUUUUGAUCACUAAAGAAAAGAUGUGUUGCAGCUUUAAACAUUGACGUAAUAUCUUUAAUUCUCAAUAUUUAUAUAUUGUAUCAAUUUAGUAUUGAUUUUAAAAAAUUAACUCUCAAACAUUUAAAUAUCAUGUAAUUUAAUAUUCUUUUACAUUUUUUUAAAACUCUUUCAUCUAAAAAGCAAAAAAAAAAAAACAACAACUCUAAGUUAGGUAAAAAAUAUACCAAAAAUAAAAACAACCAAAAGUUCAUUAUAAUAAUUUUCAUCUUUUCUCAUUGUUUUAAAUUUAAUCCAUGUCAUAAAGAAAAAUAAAACUGUAAAAAAAAUACCAAAUUAUACAAUGUAUAAAUAUUGGUUAAUUUUUUUUUGAAUAAGCCUAAAACCGACGCAAUGUAUAUGAAAAAUGAAAUAAUUAAACCCUAAAAUAUUAAAGACUUAUCAAUUAAGCUUUUUGGCUAACAAUUUCUAUCAUUGAUCAUUAUUAUGCUAACAUACUCAAGAAUAAAUCCAGACAAAUAGAUAACUAAUUCAUCUAAACUUGAACUAUGAUUUUUGAAAUCGGACCGAUGAUCAAAUUGAUCAGGCAAUCAAUUCAAUCGAUCCGAUUUCAAUUAGAUAAAUUAUUAUAAAUUCAAUUUUUUUAAAAAAAAAUCUAUUAAACUAUUUCGACUAGGUCAGCCACCAACUCAACUGAUUUUUAUCUCAAUUCAUAUUGAUCCGGGUUAACUAACUCCAUUGACCUAUUCAAUCCAAUUUCAACAAUUAUAGUUUAGCAUCUGUUUAUCUAAAUUCAUUCUAAACAUAGUCUUUUAAUUUAUAUAAAAAAUUAAAGACGAUGGUCCUUGCUUUUGUUGCUAUAAAUCCAUUUGUUCAAGUUAAUGUAAAAAACUUUUCUUAUCAUCUCACAAUAGGUAAAUCCCAUAAAUUUGAACACAUGGCCAUAUGAUUUAAAACCUUAUCCUUUUAUCAUCUAUACUAAACAAAUUCAUUAUUAUAAGUCUUGUUUUCUUAUUUUAGGCACAUGUUUAAUCAAAACAAUAAAUAUGUUUUUCAACAUUAUAAUUUUACAUCUUCCAUCCGAAAAAUGAUUAUAAAAGCAUAUCAAUUACCGAUGUCACAACUAUCAAAUUAGAUAAAGAAGAAGAAGAAGAAAACAACGGUAAGAACUUAAAAACUUGUUAAAAAAUAGGAUUUACCUAUUGUAAGAUAGCAAGAACUACCCUUUUUCAUUUAUUUUCGUAAUUUUUAUAAUGUUUUAUAAUUUUUUAUAUGUUUUUAAAAUUUGUUGUAAUUUAAAAAACUAUAUCCAGAAUAAAUCUACACAAAUGGAUAACGAGAUUCGAACGAACUUGGAUGCUCAUUUAUCCAAGUUCAUUUUGAACUAAAAUUUUUAAUAAUUUUAUGAACACCGACAUGGAUUGUCACAUCAACAUCAUAAUAACUCAAUAACCGUUAACAAUAACAAUCAACAACAAAAACUGUUAGUCAAAAGGUUUAAUAAAUAAAAGGACUGGGAGUGAUAAAGGAGGAGAGCCUUUUCUGAGUUUUUUGAUCCGAAUUAAACAAAGUAGAUGAAGAUUCACAAUGUAUGGGUCAGUUUUAAUAUUAAGUGCUUUUAACUCAAAAUUCCAAAUGGAUUAUUCCUUUUUUGCUCAACUUUAAUUAAUAUAAAGUUCCACGUAAGCAUUUAAUGAGGGACCAGUUUGCUCAUUUAUCUAAUGUUUAAUAACUCGUUUGCUCAUUUUUAAAGUAAGGAGACUAAAAUGUAAAUUCAAAGUAUAAUACAAGAAUUGCUAUGGCACUUCUACCUACAUAAGAGAGCUUAUAAAUAGGGAAAAGUUAUCAUAAAUUUAAACAUUUUAAGAUGAACCAACUGAAAUAAACUGAAACAAGGUUUAAUAUAAACACGAAGAUGAUUUCGAGCAGUUUAUAUAAUUAUAUGCAAAAUGGGAAAAGUUAAAAUGUAGUGAGAAAAGACUUACAUUGACAAGCAAUGGAUCUAGUAGUAUCGGAUAUUGGAGUUGGGGAUUUUGAUUGUUCCUUUCGAAAGAUUGGAUGAAAGACUAAUAGUCUUGGCUUUGAAUGUAGUUUCGGCUGACUCUAGCGCUCGGGAAGCUAAAAGGGCCAUCUCAGAAUGUAGUUGGAGACAAGAUACAGCCAUCUAAAAUCAGAAUUAAACUUUGGCAUUAAACAACAUAAUGAUUCUAAUAAAUCAACCAAGUAAAUGAAAUGCAGUCCUAGGCACUAAACUUGUCCGAGAGCCGGGCUACUAGCCUAAGCUCAAAAAUUAAAAAUACUAUGAACACUGUUUUUAAAACUAGACUGGAUUGGCUGGCCGGAUUGGGAAUGGCCAAGGUAUUGGUCUAGAAUAAGGGGUUGGACUGAUUGACUUGGGAACCGGUUACCCGAUUGAACCAUUGGGUGAACCUAUUUUCUCUAUUUGUUAAAUAUUUUUAAGAUUUUUUAAUAAUUUAUUCAAUUGAUCCAGACAAACCGGUUGGACCAGAUAAAUUGGGAACCGGUGGUCUGAAGGUUCAACCACCGGUCCGAACAUGCAUAAAUGGGAUUGGAUUAGUCAUUUACAAAAAUGAAUGAACUUGGACAAAAUAUUUAAGCAUUCUUAAAAAGGCAUAGAUCAGGGAGAUAUCUCUUGAAACUGAAGCAGAGAUGAGAUAAGAAACUGAAAAAUGUGGUAAGAACUCUUUGCUUACCGUAUAGCAUUCUCUAUCUGGGUCGGAAUCGGCAACGUGAAGGGCCCAUGUACGAAUCCAUUCAAGCCCUUCAGAGAUUUCGAUAUUUCCUUCAACCAAGGAAGAUGCUAUAGAAGAAGGAUGAAGAGCAAUGAGCACACAUGAUGCUGCAAAAAGGACAGCUCUCCUGACAUAUGCUUCUUUGUGAUGGCACACCUCCCUGAGUUAACAAAAUCGUGGAAAAUGGCAGAUUAGCAAAUUAUGUACGCAUAAAGAUUUGAUGUAUUAUGAAUAGUAAAUAUGAACCACCAUGAAUGCAGUUGCAUGCAUGCACAUACAUCCAUCAUGACCAUGAGAAAAAUAUCCGAUGAGGUUGUCAAUCUAUAUGUACUAUUAGACACUAGUCAGCUGAUGCCAUAAAAGCUACUACGUCUAAGAUCUGGAAUCAUGACAGGACAUUUACAUAUUGAUGUUGAGUCAAGUACCUGGCUCUUAACAUAUCAAGAAGAAGAGGAGCCAAUGCAGAUGCUUCGGGAUGCAUGGAAGCACAUUUCAUGCAAACACCAAGCAUAUAGAUGAGUUUUCCAAGGACAAUAAAGUCUUGACCAAGCAAGUCAACACCAUGUCUUUUCUUAUCAAAUCCCUGCAUAGCUGGAAGCAUAAAUGCUGCUGCAUAGAGAGGAAACUUAUUCUGAGACCAUUCAGUUUGGCUUUCAUGUAUAUUUCCUGAUCUAAGGUUCCACCGGCGAGUCUUUCCUCUCUUGACCUGACCGGGUUUUAGUGGAAGUUCUCUUUCGUUUCGGAUCGACCAGUUCAGAAGGGUUCCUGUGUCUGAGACCUCUUUCCAUGAUCCAGUGCCAGGAGGCCCUGUAUUGCUAGGCAAGAACCAGGGUUGAGGUUCUGAAAUGGUUGAUAUGAGGGGCCCUUUCUGAUGUUUAGGUUUCAUAGUUUUAGCAUUAGCAAGCUCCUCUGCUGCCAGAGUCAUUACAUCAAGUAUCAUUAUGCGUUGACAAACAUCUACAUUCGGUGAAUAUAAUAGUUUGUCUAGGGUAUCAAGAGAUUCAAAUGGACGUGUGACAACCAAUGCUAUCAAAGCUCUUUGCCGCUUCUCUUCAGCUGAUUCUUCCUCGCCUUCUACAGCUACAUCAGAGCAACGAACCUGUACAAGAGUUCGAACAAGAUCACCUGCUAAAUGUGUUAGUUCAUCAGGUGAUGCUCGUAUAAGACUUUCAGCAACAUCUAGAGCCCUCUCCACCUGCAGUGUUAAAACAUACAUUACCAAUUAAGACCUUCCACUAAGAUUCUCUAGAAAUAAGUUAAAUGUGUUCAUAAUCAAUAUCUGCCAUAUAACUUCCAACAAGGGAACAAUUUCUAAUAUAUGUUUAAGUUUAUAAACCAAGUAACUUGAGCAACCAAAAGGAUAAAAAGGAAAAUAAAAACUCAAUUAGGUAGCCGAAAUCAAAUUUUCUAGCAAAUUUUACCCGAAGAGUCUUCAUAUUGCAUAUCAAAUUUAUACCUCAUAGAUAAUGCAAACUGAAUCAUCUUCGUGAAGAAAAGAAUGAAUGGUGAACUCAAACCACUUACCCCAUCAGCAUCAUCAGAUUUCCUUAAGGCUCCAACCACAUCAACCAGCUGUGAAAUUUUUCUUUUUAAAUCUGUGUCAUCAUCUGUCAAGUCGUAUGGCUGCAAAGAGGAGUCACAUGAAUCAGAAUUCUCACUUGCAUCAUCAUCAUCAUUUUCAUCAGAGACCGAUUCAUAAUUUAGAGUAGCUGGAUCAAUAAUCUCAUCUGGAUCAACCAAACUGAACUCUGAGGAUUUCUUGCUUUUACUCUUCACCCCACUUCCUUUCCCACCAUCAGCUGCACGUGCUAAGUCUUUACUUAAAGUGGCGCUGGUUGACGUCCCAGUUUCAUCAAUUUGUUUCUCUGCAUUUGAGACUGACAAUCUCCCUUUCUCAGAGGUGGUUAAUCCGAAUUCCCAGUCAAUGGUCUCCCCAUUGCAGCUGUCAUCAAGAUAUAGAGGAUUCUUUGGAUCAACUACUUUAGAGAACACUAAAGCGAUAGUGCUAGCCAUUUUUCGCACUAGGUCUGCAGGACUCUCCAGCCUACCUGUUAAAAGUAUUAGUGCAAAAGUAAGUUACCAGCUAAAAUACAUGACAAUUUGGAAGCAAAAGUUACAAGAAGUUACAGUUGACUCCUUGAAGAAUUGAGUGCAUUGCAUCCUUUGUUUUAUCUAGUUCCUCUUUGGACAUCUUCUCCAGACAAAGGCCUAAAGCAGCAGUUAUAUCUGUUUUUAAGUUAAAGGGAAACAGAACAUGACAAAUAAAAAGGCGAGAAAGGAAUGAAAAUGGAUGGACGGAUGCAGUUGGAGGUGUUGGUAUGGUUUAGAAGAAAAUAACUAAAACAAGAUAUGAAUCUUUGAUUCCCCUGGUAAAUUUUUAAGUUUCUAUAUCUUGCAUGUUCAAUAAUUGUCAACCAAAUUGAGAACUUCUAAUUUGAUUUGUGGAAGUAGUAAAGGAUACAAGCUUGCUGCUCUAGUGGGGCUGAUUGUACAAAGUCCCUUUUUGACCAUACGGCAGCCAGGCGUUGCACUAUGUCUAAGAGACCAUUGGUGGUUUCAUGACCUUUAGUCCACGAAUCUUUAAUGGGUGAGCAUUCAAAAACAGCAAAUUGCAAGAUCCACUGCAGGCAACAAACAGGAAAAACUUUCCACAGUAAAAACUUGUCAAAAAACAUGGACCUGAGAAAAAAGUAUGAAAAGCAAGAUCAGCUAUAAAAAGAAACAAAGCAGUACAAUGUGCCACCUAUAUAGUGAAUUUCUAAAUUGCAUCGAUUUACAAUAAAGUAUAACAAUCUGCUACACUAUUUAUCUAUCUAUUAUGAAAUACUUCUGCAUCACACAACUAUUUGCAAUUGCAUGUAGCACAGCUCACCAAAAGAAAACAACAAUAUGAUUACGGUUGGAUAUUCAAAUUUCAAAUUAUUAAUAUCCAAUUUGAAUUUAUUUAUAGAUAAAUAUACAGGAAGGAAAAGAAAAGAAAGGUUCAUUCUCCAAUUUAUUGUAUUUCAGACCAUCAAUAUGCAUGCAAGUUAUCCUAAUUAGUGCCGUUAAUUGUAAUGAUUCAUGACUAUAAGAUUGUCAUUCCUUCUGAUUCUGAAUGGCCUAAAUGCAAUGAAAGGAACAACCCAAUUAAAAUAAUCAGCUAAACUUGAUCGAAGGUAUAAACUAGCAAAUGUUCACCAACCUGACUGAUGACUGAGAUUUUAGUAACUGAUGAAACAAUAUCCAAAGAACCCAGUAAGCUUCAAUAUCACUUGCAUGCUCAGUUGCAAGCUGACGCAAAAGCUGUUCUGCAAUUCUUUCAACAGUGUAGGAAUCUGUUAUUGCUUCCAUUAUCUUCAACCAAAAUUGAGAUUCAGGGUUUGACUCAAAUACAUCAGUGUUUGAAGAUAAGCAACUUCGAACAUGUCUGAGAACCUGGGGAGUUACUUCACUUAACAGCACAUCUGCAAGCAAUGAAUGUAAUUUACUUCAGUGUCAAUUUCACCACCAUCUUGCUUACCUAAAGAGGAAAAAGAAAAAAAGAAAUUAAAGAAAUCCCUAUCAGCUGAAUGUAAUGUAAUGAACAGAAUACUUGGGUAGCAUGUCUUUAAAAGAAGCACAAUUAAAUUUCACGUAGUUAAUGCUAUGUGACAUUCCAAACUAUAGUGCACAAACAUUCAUGAUUCCGGACCCUCAUGCCUGUUUACCAUAAUUGUCAAAUUAAGAACACUGAAUGUUCCUUUAGUAAUUUAACCCUACACCAUAACCUUGGAUUUAAAUUACACAUUCCUUUUGCCUCUUCAAGAUGAAGAUCCUAGUAUCACCAUGCACAAUCUUCACAUUUACCUUAGCUUCUCCAGCUUCAACUUACAUAAAAGUUUCAUCAUCUUUGGCAGCAUUUAAGAUGCAAGAUAAAUAUUUAGAACUAGGAAAUAGUAAAUGCACAAACACCAGUAUGUAAUCAAAUCACCAUAUAUGACAUGAGAUGCAUUCUUAGAUGAACAAAUAUUUCUGCAUUCACAAAUUAGAAACUCAGGUUAUACCAAAUGACACUCAUCUAUUUAGCACAGUAUUACUUAUUGAACUAUCUGAAAGAGUGAGGAGUAAAAACUAAAGAAUGGAUAAGAGUAGAAAGUCACACUCAUACAAAUUGUUCUUCACUUAACCAAAUCGAUAUAUAACUCGUAGUGGAGCACAAGUUCACUAAAAUGGAGAUGAAUAAGCAAAAUGACAGAAAGAAAAUCUAACACUACCGCUUGAAAUAUCUCGCUACCUGAAGAUCCACGUCGAAUGAUACGGGAAAAUAUUUCUCCAAGAAAUGAAAGGUUAACAUCCAUCUCACUUUUAUCAGUGAUGGCCUGCCUUUCUUCCAUGCCAAUCAGAAGUUGAAUAGUGAUCUGCUUGAAAAACAAACUAUAAUACUUUUGUAAAGGAAAAUCAUUAAUAAAAGGCAUUUUUGAAAUAAACACAUGGAUAGACAAUAAUAAAUAAACAGAAUAACUAGUGCCGCAGAAAUAAAGGAUACUGUGAUGAGAGUAAAGGCGGGGCUCUCAAUCGUGCUUUGUCGGGAAUAGAUGUUACGAUAUGUGCUACCCUAGACACAACUGACUUGAGCCUUUCAUUUAUAGUAUCUUCUGAAUGGGGUGAAACAGCUAAGUCUAAAGCCAUUUUAAACACCCCAUCAUUGUCGAGAAGGCAAAGAACAAGCAACCUGUCAUCAAUUCAAAACAUGUCCAAAGGUAUGCUAUGAAUUUACUAUCAUAUCUCAUAAUAUGUUUCAUAAGAGUAAACAACGGAACCUCUUCAAUAGUAUCAUUUUCAACUAUUCCAGAUAUGGUACAAUGAAUGAUUACACUUAUAUACCAAAUCCAAUAAAUUACACAUAUAGCAAUCCAUUUAAACAGAAGACCCAGCUUACCUUUCUACAUUUGACUGAACAACAUUAACAUCGAAAACAUCACUGCUGGUCAGCUGUAGGUGAGGAACCAAAACCUGUACAACUUCAGUUGAAAGUCCAUUGACAAAGAAAACAUCAUAGAUAUGUUUCUUUGCUGAAAGAGGGAAACAUGUAAGCCAAUUGGAAGCAACAUCUGCAAACAACAGAUUUUAUAUAAGAAAAUAGUGGAUUUGAUUCUUGCCAAAGCAGUGAUAACUUCGAAAAAGAAUAAAAAUUACCAAGCAACAAAACACGAGCCAGUGUUGGAAAAGCAGCUCCUUGAUAAAAUGCCCUCCACCAAUCAUCCCUUUCAUUUGCAGCAUGAACUUUUGCAAUAAUAACCUUUAACAAAGCACAAACAAAAAUAAUGAAAAUUCAAAGAAAAUAAAAAAAAUAAUUUAAAAAAACGAAUAUAAGAAGAAAACCUGGUCUUUAUAAUGCUCGUCAAUGCUCCCUGUAAUUCCAUGAUAGUAAUACAAAAAAACAAAAAUUAUAUAUAUGUAUAAAUAUUUUAGAAACAUUUCCCGACAAUAAUUGUUAUAAGGUUAAAGAGAAGAGCGAAAAGGAGUGACCUGAGAGAAGAGAGGAAUCGAUGGGGAAGAGAAGAACAGCUAAAGAGUGAAGAGCGCAAAUCACUUGCUCGACGUGCUUUGCUCUUUCUAUUUCCCUUAUCACUUCGCCGACCUUCUCGAUCACUUUGCUCUCCACCUCUAUCUUCCUUUUCGCCGCCGCCGCCGCCGCCGCCUCCAUCUCCACCGUCGCCGACUCCUAUCAGUUCUCCGUUUCCGCCAAAGCCAAAACAGAAUAUUUCAAAAUUAUUGAAACGCUGUCGCUUGAACCAAGUCAAGUUUGUAGAUUAUGGAGCAUGGAGUAAGGACUCUAUAUUAUAUUGCCAAAACUAUGAUUUUGGCUCCUCUUACUCUGCGAUAUCUAAUUUUCAUAUUUUAAUUUAACAUGAUUCUUCAAUUAAAAGGAGUUAAAAAAUAAUUUUAUUUUUAUAUUAAAAAAUAUUUUUAUAAUUUUUUAGAAGAGAUUAAAUUAAAAUGUUAUGAAUUAAGAGGUGAAUGUAUAAUUUUAUCAUUAUUUAUUUAUAAUAUAUAAAUAUUUUAAAAAAUAAAAUAUAUAAUUUUUCUAAGCGGUGUCUACCCUUGAUUUUAUACUCUUAUAUUAUUAUAGUUAAAUCUAAUAACUGGUAGACAGGAAGAUUGAAUUAAAAUAAUUAAAAAAUUAAAAAUGUUGAUAUGAAUUUUUUUAAAAGUUACCUUUUUAAUUAAUCAUAUUUAAUAGUUUUCUUUAUGUUGGAAAAGGUGUCUUUAAAAAUUAUUUUUGAAUUUCAAUUAGAAUAAUUAACCAUAUUAAUUAUUUGAAUUAAUUAUUAUUUUUAUCAAAUUUGAAUUAAUUAUGAUAUUAUAAAAAUAGGGAUCCAAUUGUGUCAAAUUAAAGUGGACAAAUUAAAUCCAAAAUGUAAGCACAAUAGAGUGAGCAAAACAUUAAUUUGACCUAUUAUAUAAGUCAGAUGUUAUAGCAAACGCUGUCGUGUUGAGGUUUAUUAGAGUUAUAACCCCUUUCUUUACUUCGCGUCGAGCAUUAUUUUCAGAAAUUCAGUUACGUUCAUAGUACAAUGGCAACUGCCGCCAUAGAUCCGGAGCUGAAGAAGCUCCCGCGCCCCGGUCGGGGAGGAUUUCAAGCCCACGGUCUAACCGAGGAAGAGGCCCGAGUACGAGCCAUUGCUGAAAUUGUCAACUCCAUGGUAGAACUCUCAAGGAAGAACCAAAGAGUGGAUCUAAACGCAAUCAAAUCUGCCGCGUGUCGGAAAUAUGGACUCGCACGUGCACCGAAGCUGGUAGAGAUGAUCGCUGCACUUCCCGAGUCGGAGCGCGUGUCUUUACUCCCUAAGCUUCGCGCCAAACCGGUUAGAACCGCUUCCGGAAUCGCGGUCGUGGCGGUUAUGUCGAAGCCACAUCGGUGCCCGCAUAUUGCGACUACAGGGAAUAUUUGUGUUUAUUGCCCCGGCGGACCGGAUUCGGAUUUUGAGUAUAGUACUCAGUCGUAUACGGGAUAUGAGCCAACUAGCAUGCGAGCAAUUAGAGCGAGGUAAGCUAUUUGAUGUUCAUUUUCCCUUGCUUCGUCGAGCUCGUUGAUUUACUGAUUUCAUGUUACGUUAGGUUUGCGAACAAUAAUUUGAUAUUUUCGAUUAGGAUUUCAUUUGAAAUAUUAAUUGUAAGAAUGAAAUACUGAUGAAUUAGUUGAGAUUCAGUAUAAUUAUUUAUUUGAAAUUUGAGUAGUAUAAAAAUAUGAAUAUUGUCAAAUUCAUAGAUACUAUAGGAAUUUCAAAUUCUAUACUAAAUAGGUACAUGAGUCCAUGGAUUUGAGAAAUAAUCAGGAAUGUUAUUUUUGUAUGUGUUAUGUAUCAGACAACUUGCAGUAUUUUUAAAAUCCAGGUUGAAAAUUUGGAAUCUAAAUUCCCAAAAGCUACCUUAAAGAAACUUUUGAAAAUAGAAUAUUUAGUUAGUUUUUCAUUCAUUGAAAUCAAUGGGAGAUGGCUGUUGGCAUUAGGUUGAAUUGGAAUGGUGGGGGUGAGAGGGCCACGUUUUUGCUUGGUUAAAUUAGCUUCCGAUUCUGUUGAUUGCUAGACUAGCUUUUGAGAAUCCAAAUGUCAUGCUGAAUUUAGCAGCAGUGAGGUUUCAUGAUUGUUAAGAAGAAAAGAGAUGAGAUUUUUGCAUUUGCUUAGUACUGUCUGUCUAAAUUCUUCGAAAAACUUGGUCUAUGAUGAUUCCAGGUAUAAUCCAUAUGUCCAGGCAAGAAGCAGGAUUGAUCAGCUGAAGCGACUGGGUCACAGUGUAGAUAAGGUUCGAAUUAUUCCCUGGAUUAAGUAUCUGCUUUUGUUUUUAUUGCAUUGAGAUCUAUAGUUUGAAAACACUUUGGCAUUUGUUAAAAUGAUUAUUGGAUAUUUGUAGGUUGAAUUCAUCUUGAUGGGUGGCACCUUCAUGUCACUGCCGGCAGAUUACCGAGACUAUUUUAUUAGGAAUCUUCAUGAUGCUUUGUCAGGUCACACUUCUGCCAAUGUUGAAGAGGCAGUUACCUACUCUGAGCAUAGUGCUGUAAAGUGCAUUGGAAUGACAAUUGAAACGUGAGUUAUCAUGUUGCAUUUUGAGAUAUAUUCUUAUCUUUUUUUGCAGUCGAGAACUUUCAUGUGUAAUUUACUUUUUAGUGGUUCAGACUCAAAAUGUUUGUUUGGAAGACAUUUACCAGUAUUAAUGCUUUCCUUAAUCUACUUUCUAUAUCUAUAUAUAUUGCUGCUUGAUAUGUCGCAUAAAACUAGGCAGCUAUCUUGGUCCACUUCUUCAUUUUUCUUGAAGUACCCCAUGUCCAACAUGAGUAUAGGGAUAUGAUCCUCCAAGGAUCCUCAAAAUACAAGGGGAAAUUAACUGGGGGCGGGGGGGGGGGGGAUAAACCUACUUGUAUCGGGCACGUAUUUUUAUCCAACACUCGUACCCAAGUACGAGUUACAUCAUUAAGUGGGAGUCAGUAGUUGUUUAACAAAAGAUUGUAAAGUUGAAUGUGUUAUUUUAUGUGUCUGAAAUAUGUAAAGAAAAAUUGUUUGCUUUUUACUUAUUUCACUGAUUGAAACACACCACAUAUUUAAUAGGAGUUCUCAUUCUUCUGUUUCUGGUCUACAGUAGGCCAGACUAUUGCCUUGGUCCUCACCUGCGUCAAAUGCUUUCUUAUGGUUGUACACGAUUGGAGAUUGGAGUUCAAAGCACAUAUGAAGAUGUUGCUCGUGACACUAAUAGAGGACACACCGUAGCUGCAGUGGCUGAUUGUUUUUGCUUGGCAAAGGAUGCUGGUUUCAAGGUAUCUGUCUCAACGCUCUGCCGUUUCUCUCAAGCGAAACGAUUGUUACAUUUCCCCUAGUUACCUCUAUUUAGUAUAAAGAAUCCCCCAUUAUCCUCUUUAGGGAUGUAAAUGAAUAUAAAUGGCCAGAACAUGACUUUCUCGUGUUCGGUUCCUUCAAUAAAUGAGUCUCAAAAUCUUGUUCAUGUUCAUUUAUUUAGCUUGUUAAACGAAUAGAAGCCGAACUGUUCAUGAAUUGUUCACUAAACUCUCCAUUCAUUUUACACCCCUAGAUUCUUCAUCUUCUUCAUCCUCCUCCCUCCUGUCUUUUCCCUCUCAGUACAGCCAUUGAAAAAAUGAAAUCAAUCUUUUUGUCCGGCACAAAUCACAUAUCAAAUCAACUAAAACAAAUUUUCAUUAUCACGGAGUAUGCCAUAUGUGGCUUAAUUAUCAGUUUUUGCAUUUAUGCAUUCAGCUUCUUUCAAUUGGAUCCACUCCUUGCUGAACUUUUUUCAUUGCUUUUUUGAAGGUUGUUGCUCAUAUGAUGCCCGAUCUUCCUAAUGUUGGUGUCGAGAGGGACUUGGAAAGUUUCAAGGAGUUUUUCGAGAGCCCUUUAUUUCGAGCUGAUGGGCUUAAAAUAUAUCCCACGCUUGUGAUCCGUGGAACUGGCCUUUAUGAGCUUUGGAAAACUGGCAGGUAUGGUUACUUACUUAUUUAUAUUUCUUUGUUAAUGAUUUCAUGGGUAUCUAUGAAUUUUCGGUUUCUUUCAAGUUUUGACAGGAAAUAAAAUUUCUAUUUAUUUACUUUGCAGGUACCGAAAUUAUCCGCCUGAGCAGCUUGUGGACAUUGUGGCAAGGAUCUUGGCCAUGGUACCGCCUUGGACACGUGUUUAUAGGGUCCAGCGUGAUAUUCCUAUGCCUUUGGUUACCUCUGGGGUUGAAAAGGGAAAUCUUCGUGAACUAGCUUUAGCUCGUAUGGAUGACUUGGGCUUGAAGUGCCGAGAUGUUCGAACGCGUGAAGCUGGAAUUCAGGUAACAAGACAAUGUUGUUCCUCAGAAUCUGUUCAUGCUAAAAAGCAAUAACCUGUUGAGAGUGUAAUAAUGGCAUGUUUAUUUCAAUACAGGAUAUUCACCACAAAAUUAAACCCGAAGAAGUUGAGCUUGUUCGACGUGAUUAUACAGCAAAUGAAAGCUGGGAAACAUUUCUGUCUUAUGAAGAUACACGCCAGGUACUGCAAGGCCCUCUCUAUUGCUGUUUGUGUCACUGUGUGUACAUAUUUGAUAUAAUGUUCUCUAUGUAACAGUUUGUCUGUGCUGAAACAUGAUACGAUGAUACAGGAUAUUCUUGUUGGGUUGUUGCGACUGCGUAAGUGUGGCCAGAAUACUACUUGCCCUGAACUAAUGGGGAAAUGUUCUAUUGUCCGUGAACUCCAUGUAUAUGGAACUGCUGUUCCAGUUCAUGGCAGAGAUGCUGACAAGUUACAACACCAGGUAAUGGUUAAAAUCUUUAGUUCUAAAAAUUACCCUAGAAAGGAAGUUGAAUAAAAGUUUCCCUAUGAGGUGGAUACACUUCAAGUUCUACAUUUCGAAUUUAAUUUUUGUUUUGAACACAAUAAAAUAGAAAGGUCAUGAAGUAACCUAUACUGCUCCGGUUUCUCACAUGUUUUUGAAAUAUUCAUGUUCGACACUCAUAUCCAAUGCGUAUUUGGAUACGAGUAUGGAAAUAUAACCCACCAAACACAUUGAAAAACUUCAAUAAAAUUGAAUAGAGCUGUACUCAAGCCUAACCGAGCUUGAACAAUGAGAAGCUAUAUUCGAGAUUCACUACUUGAAACUUGGCUCUAGCUCGAUGGAGUACUAUUACAGAAGCUUGAGCUCAGCUCGAACUAAAUUGAACUAUUUGAGUUGGGCUCAAUUAAAGCUUGCUGACAUGAUUUAUAUACUCGAGCUUGAGUUUGGACUUGAGACUUGAGACAGCUCGUUCAUAUGCAAAUUUUUAUAUUUAAAUAACAAAUUUUAGGGUUUGGGUUUAAAAUGUACAUAUUAAGGGAAAGGUAGUAAUUUAAUACUAAAAUAUUAAAAACAUGACUUGCAAGCAGCCUGCUUGAAUUGAGUAUUAAGAUACUCAAAAGUCUGCUCAAUAAUGACCAAAACACACUUGAGUUUUCUUAAAGUCAAACUUGAGUAGCUUGCGAGCAAAGAUGUCUAACUUCAUCCUUAAAAUUUAGCGGAAAUGUACCCUUGAUAGCUCUAAUACUUGAGAGUCAAAUCUAAUCCGAGUAACGUAAGUAGCUUUAUCUUCUUUUUUUUUGCAGGGUUAUGGUACACUUCUAAUGGAAGAAGCAGAGCGUAUUGCAAGAAGGGAGCAUAGAUCAACAAAAAUAGCAGUGAUAUCUGGUGUAGGAACCCGGCAUUAUUAUAGGAAAUUGGGGUAUGAGCUUGACGGCCCUUACAUGGUUAAAUAUCUGACUUCAUAGGAAAACCUAAUUUUGAAUGUAACACCAAUUUUGUAUGCUUUUGUGUAAAAUUCUAGUAACAGAUAUCAAUUUAUAAUUUUGUAUGCUAUAUUACAUGUUGAAAUAUUUUUGUGUUUAAAUUAUUUUCUUUUAAGUUCAUCGAUUGAUCUCAAACGUUAUACUUGUUCAACAAUCAAAUUAUUUGGUAGACACUAUUGCAAUUUAAAUAAGGAUUUUAGAAAGGUUAAAUUAUGGUUUUUGUUUUUGUAUUUUAUAGAAUUGAGAUUUAUUCUAUAUUUUAAAAGUUAAAAAUUUUAGUUAAAUUAUAAUCUUCGUUGAUAAUUUUCGUUAAAUUUUAUCAAUAUAAUAUAUUUAUUUUCCAUUAAUCAUGUCACAUGUGGGCAAUCUAAUUAAAAUGUCAAAUUGAUAAAUUUUGAUAAAAAAUAUUUACUAUUUGUAUGAUUAGAUUGGAAUUUUCAGUGAUUAAAUCUCAAAUUUAUCAAACUAGAAGAACUAAUAACACAUUUUAGCCACGUAUAAAUUUGAGUCAAAUUAUUCAGAAUUUUCUUUAUUUAAAUUUAAUACUAAAAUAUAUUAUAUAAUGAUUUUGAAUCAUGUUUCUGUGUUUUUUUUCUCAGACAACUAUCUAAUCCAAUUAAUAGGUCUAAUUCUCUCAACCAUCAACGGAAACUUAAGUAACAGAAAGCAAAAUAUUAAGCUCGAUGUUUGAAUAUUUUAAACACGAUUAUGACAUGAAAAAUUAAUACAAAGACGAUACAAAUACAUGGAUUAGUAUCUGCUUAUAUUCUCUAACCUGAAUGGACUUGAAAAAAGGAAAAAAAAAAUUGACUUGAAUCAAUAACGUCCAAAAGUCAAGGUUGAAUUGCAGUUCCAAAACACUAUUAGUCUCUAUUCAGAAACUCCUUAUAACCCUUAUAGAACUAACCAUAGUCCAAGCUUUGCGGCACACUCUGCAACAGUCUCGAAGCGAUUCAAAUGAUUUAAGUUCAGUUAACUCAUUCCAUCAGAUUGUACAACACCUGUUUGCUGCCAUCAUCAAAAACAUAACGUCGGUAUCAAGAGGCACUGGCAUUGGCAUUCAUGCCACUGAAAUUUCCGUGACAUUCAAAGGAUGCAAACACAUUGUAUUUCAACUUUCUGACUCGAAGGAAGUAAUAUUCAUCGUUUUAUCAUCUUCCUCACUGCAACCAAAAACGAAGGAAAGUUAAGGGGACGGUCAAGAUAAUGAGCUAAACUAACACUAAACAGCUCUUGUACUUCUUUUAUUUGGAUAACACUAAACAAGUUACCCGCCAAGCAUAAGCUAAACCGAUUAAAUUAUGGCAACAAUUUGUUAAGCACAAGAUAAUGAGCUAAACUAACACUAAACAGCUCUUGUACUUCUUUUAUUUGGAUAACAGGGAGUGAAAACAGCCUCUGAUUGUUUUCUAACCAAUAUUCAUAUACAUAUAUAUAUAGCCCCACCCACACCACCUUUCAUAUUUAAUUGAGUUCCUUUUAAACCAAGUUUUUCUCCCCACCAACAUGAAUGUCAAAAACAAGAUCUGCAAAACCAAACCCUUAGAAACCAAUGCUUUGUUGGUUCAAGUGACAAAAAGCUUGGUCCCUCUUUCCACCAUGAGCUUCACUAAAAAACUUAGGAAAAGUAAAUCCUUAGAAAUAUUGGUAAAUCGUUAAAUAUUUUGGUAAAAACUUUUCCUAAGCUUUUUCUAAUGAAGCUCAUGGUAGAAUUUCCUAAGUUUUCCCCCAUUUGGGGUAGACAGACUCUAGAAUAGUCGAGGCCUAAUGUACCUUCCCAUAUUGGGGGAUCUUAGACUCCAAAAAAUAAAGGCAUAAUAAUAAAUUUAGCUUUUAACAUUUACCUCUUUUGUCACUUUAACCCUAAUUCUUUUGUUUUUGGAUCACUUUGGCUCUCAAAUUUUAAAAUUUAGUCAAAUUGCUUUCUUUUAGAUGUAAAAGUUAACUGAACCAUUAAAAUUUUAAUGGCACUGACGUGGCUACCUGCAUGGUAGUCCAUGUAUAAUUCAUAAAAAGUCAAAAAUAAUAAUAAUAAUAUUUAAAAUUUCACCAAAUUUCAAAAAAGUUCAUAAAAGUUUUUAGAAAAAUUAUCUGUGUUAACAGUGAAAUAUAUAUGGACUACCACAUAAGUGGUUACAUCAGUGCUGUUAAAAUUUAAUGGUUUAGUUAAUAUUUUCAUCUAAAAGAAAGCAAUUUAACUAAAAUUUGAAGGUUGAUGGCCAAAAUGAUCUUAAAAAAAAGAAUAAAGAUCAAACUGACAAAAUAGAUAAACGUUAGGGACUAAAUUUGUUUUUAUGCCCCCCAAAAAAAACUUGGAAGCUGUUCAAAUCAAAGUGUUGCUAACCGAAAAGUGGAGAGUUGUAUCAGAAGUUUAAUAUGCAAAGCUGGUGCCAUUGGUAUUAAUCUACCACAACAACUGAUUGAUAAAGUUCAAAAGCAAAAUGCAAAAGAAAAUUACCAACUAUGAAGGUUUUGCUUUCCGUCCAACUUGUGACACUCGUCUUAGCACUUGGGUUUCUUGCUUCAUAUCUCUGCAAAAUAAAUAAAAGUCAUAAAUAUUGUUGCAGACACUCAGUCAAGCAGAAAUCUUGGAAGCUUCGUUUUGUGUGAGUGUAUGUAUAUAAAUUACCUUUGAUAUAAAUAAUAAAGAAGAUAGAAAAGAGGAAGCAGCAUCAUAAGUAGUAUUGAUGUAGCCAUGUAGAGUAAAUUUGUUUGCUUCUGAAACAACAAAAGCAAUUUCAAAUGUUAAAUCAUAUUUCGUCAAUAGUAUAAAUAAGUUAAAAGGACUUCUACAUCAUUUUGAAUAAAUGAUAACGAGAAGUUUCCGAAAAUGACAUUCUGGAAAUUUAGUAUUACAUUUUAAUAGUCACACUAUCUUUGAAUUUAUUGGAGAUUUUGCGGAUAUCCUAAAACACAAGGCGAUUAAUCUAGGCAGCAUAAUGGGAUUUAUGAUAAAAAAAGCAAAGGUUAAAGUACUUGGGAGGUCCCUAUAUUAUAGGGACCGGAUCAAAUUAGUCCCCCUAUUAUUAAAUGAAUCAAUUUAGUCCCUAUACUUUAUUAAAAAGAAUCAAAUAAGUCCAAAUUGUAACAGAUUUAACAUUUACUGUAUGGAAAAUAUCUUGAAAUUUAUUUUUUUCAAUUGCAGCUCAAUACCAAACAAAAAUUUUCAUUUACAGGACCAUAAAAACUUUAACAAAUAUUAUCCCUGUUAAACAGAAAAUGAUAUGUUUUAAACAGUAAAUGUUAGCUCUAUUCCAAUUUGUGCUUAUUUGAUUCUUUUUAAUAGUACAGGGACUAAAUUGAUUCAUUUAAUAGUAGAGGGAUUAAUUUAAUUAGGUCCCUAUAAUAGAAAGACCUCUCAAGUAUAUUCACCAAAAAUUGAACCCCAGUCAUCCAUGCAAAGUUCAACUUUUAACCCAACUCCAAACUAAACCAAUUAUGAUUUAAAAAAUAAGCUUACCUUUCCUCCUCUAGGGAAAGGUUUUGCUUUUCCAGAGCAAGUGUGAGCAUCACAAAAUUGGCGCAGAAACAAUUCUUCAAGGGACAAUGCAAAUAAAAGUAGAGAUAUUAGCAAUAGUAUGACCGUACCUCAUUUUAAGUGAAAGAUAUUCACGUCACUACAACAUUUUCAGUUUUUAAAUAACAGAACUCAGGAUAUAUGAAAAGGCAUAUUUAUAUACCAUGGAGGCGUCUGGCAGAUGGACCCUGACUAAUAGGAAAACAGCUAUUGGCAAGACUCUGCUUACACGAAAGAAUAGAUGUAAAUGAGCCAGAACAUUGGAAUCAACAAAUUAUGGAAUGACAAUAAUUAGAAACAACCUCACAAAGAUGGCGGUUCCUCGUUGCAGCAGCAGGAUUGCACUUGGCCUUGAGCAAAUUGGAAUUUAUCACAAAGUCACAAUGCAAUGCUCCACAUAAGUCAGCCAAGCACUUACUUUGAUUCUGAAUUGAUCGGUUAAGCUUUGUCAGCAAUGUAAAAAUGAACCAUAAUUUGUUUUUGAAGAUUAGAGAGAUAUUGACACCCUAAACUGAAUGACGUUUAGCAAACAAUUUAAUACGUAAUGCUAUUCAUGUCAAGAAAUGUAGUGCAGAAGCAGGUAAAAGUACUAUGGAGGCCCCUGUACUAGGAGUUAGAUUGCAUUUUACCCCCUCUACUCAAAAAAAUGAACAAAUUAGCCCCUGUACAUUAGAUCAAAGAGCAAACUGAUCCUCUUGUUAAAAAUUCCAUUUUUGUCGUUAAAAAUUGGUCCCCAUACAUCAGCAUGACGUAUAUGUGGCAUGUCACAUGCCACUGUCUAUUUAUUCCAUCGACCACGCUAGUUUUUAACAGUAAAAGUGGAUGAAAUUUUUAACGGAAAUAACCAAUUUGCUCUUUAAUCUAAUGUACAGGGACUAGUUUGCCCAUUUUUUAGUAAAGGGGGCAAAAAAACGCAAUCCGGCUCCUAGUACAAGGGCCUCCAUGUUACUUUUACCUGUAGAAGCAUUAGUGAAAGAAACAAAGCACAAGAUAAUACAGAGGAUUACCAUAAUUUGGAAACAAUAUAUAACUUGAAAUCACAGAAUUACAGAAAAGAAAGCACUUUAUGUUAUGGCACAAGAAAAAGACCUACAAUUUGUUGCAAGAAAAGGAACAGGAGUCUAACAUACAACAUUUAGAAGAUUGUAGUGCCUGUUGUCAAAAUGCUGGUCGAGAAAUCUUUCAGCACGAAAGCUUUUCUUACAAUAUCCACACCGCCACUCGUUUACAUCCAAAUGAAUCUUGUGUCGCUCUUGAUCCCUAAAAAGAUCGUUGUCUGGAUGAAGCCUACAGUCAGCUGAAAUCUGAUACCCUUCUUCUUCAACGAAUGGCAUCAAAUACUACAAGGUGAACAUGAAGAACAUUUUCAUCAGCACGACGCAGAACAUCUAAAUGAAAAAAGUACUCCUCAUCAACCUGAAAGAGUCAUCUUGUUCUUACAUCAUCUAUAAUCUGCCAGGCAGCCCUACUUCUUUCUCUGGAACAAUGUACUUCAUGAGUAUCAUGCGAUUCCUGCUUAAGAGUCCUAAAGAAUAAGGAUAAUGAAGAUAUCAUCAGCAGAACUUCAUGAAAGAAGAUACCACAUUUUUUUCCAACACCCAUGAUCACUAGUCAUCACAAAAAAAAGGCAACCAAGUACAAAUCAACUCAAACUCCCAUCUCCCCAACUGGAACAAGUUCAAAACAGCAUUACCUCGCAGCCAAAGAUUCUUCAAAGCCUUGCUGCAUAACAAUAAACAGAAGAGAAAACACAAAAGGUCAGGUUGGAAAAACGGUGCAUCUUAACUUAUUCUGAUGUUUUCAUUUCAAGAAGGGGCAGAACGGGGGGAGGGGGUGCUGGGGCUGGCAGGGGCCCUGGCCACUUAAAAUGGAAAAUUUUCCCUUUAAGCCCUUUAAAUUCUCUAAAUUUAGGUUGAUAUAUGGUAAAUUUGCACUUUGGCUCCCAAAAAUAAUAAAAUUAUGAUUUAAUCCUAAUAAAAAAACAGUAAAAUUAUAAGCUAAUACAAUGAUAAAAUUACAUUUUAGCUCUUAUAUAAUUUAUAUUUAACUUUGGCCCCCUAGAGAAAAUUUCUAGGCUUCGCCCCUGAUUUCAAGAAUGCAAAUACAAAUACAAAUACAAGCAAACACUGUCCCAGAACUAAGCAUUGAACUCCAGACUUAGGAGACAUAUACAGAGAAAUGAAUCAUGCAUAUCUUCAUAUAAAAAUUUUCUUGUUAACAAAAAUGACCCUUUGAUAGUUAGGAUAUAUAUAUAUAUAUACACACCCACACACACACAACUAAUCUAAUUAACUGAAGUAAUGGUCUCGAAUAUACAAUAUACAACCGACAUGAAUAUACUCGAUUUUUUUCCAUAUAUUUGGAGGAUCAUAGCUUUCUAUCAAUAUCCAUAUAUAUGAAGCACUGAUACAUUCAAGAAAAUGAAGAGUUCAUAUAACCUAACUUAUAUGUAAGUACCAACUAAAUUGGAUUAAGGAAUUUAAAAAAGAAAUUAAGUGGAAACCCAUAUGAAAUAUAGAAAAAGGAGCUGAAAUUGAAAUGAGGCAUUAGAUUAAAUUACUGAAGUAAAUAUUAGAUAUUUCUAAUCAAAAUGAGAAAUUAAAAAAAAACCUGGGAUUUUGUGACAUGCAGCAAUAUAAAUUGAAUGAGAAUAAUUAAAGUUAUUGCUUUGGCUCUUCCCAUCUCUAAUCUUCAGUCCUCGUCUUCUUCUCUCUCGAAUGGGAGAAUUAAAGCUUUAACUUUUAAUUCUUCUCGGCAAAAAAGGAAAAAAGUGAAAAACUUUUCCCGGAAAUUUCACUGUUUUUCUAACUUCUAAGCUAUCUCGGUUUCGUGGAAUUUCAAAUUGGGCCCUUUUGGGUAUAAAGAUAAAUUAAAACUUACGAUGGUUAAGGAUGUUCUCAUUUUAAGAAAGGAUUGGUUAUAUUUGAAAGGUGUUGGUUUUAAGGCCCGCCCCAUCUCAUCAUUCUCAACCCGGUCUUAGGCCCAUUCAAUAAUAAAAAUGAAUCAUUACUAAUAUCAAAUUUAAAAAAAAAAAAAAACGGCCCAACUUUUAAUUUUGCAAAAUGUAACUCAUCUGUUUCAAUUUUGUAUAAUUUGAUCUUCCUUUUAAAUCAUUAACACCUCUAAAAAAAUUACUUGAGCCACCUACUGUGAUUUUAAACAAACAAAGAUAUUUCAAAAUUAUAGAUUAACUUUGAUCUAAUGUAUAAUUUGAUAUAUGAACUUUGAUUUAUUGUAAUUAUGCACAUGAAACUUUGAUUGUGGUUCAAAUACAUACAUAAAACUUUAAUUUUAUUCAAUUGUAUACAUUUACAUCAAUUUAUUUCUAUAUUAAAUAUAUAAUUAUUGGUAUUGCAAUAUAUAUUUAAAAUGGUACUAAGUCAAUAAUUGUGUUAGUAAUUUACGAAAAUUAAAUUAAAUUAACAUUUCAUGUAUAAAUUUACUUAAAUUCAAAAUUUAUAUACAAUUUUGAGAUUUAUGCAGAAUUCUAUAUAUGGUUAAAAGAAGUGAAAUUGUGGUUAUCAAAAUAAUAUUCUUUUUUAUUAAUUUAUCAUUUUAAAAAAAUCAACUUAGUCUUGGACUAUUUUAUUUCUUAGUUUGUUUUACAUGCAUUAUUGGCCUUAAAUUAAAUUUGUUAAAAUCCGAAUUCCAAAGGGGCUGCGUUCUAUACCGCAUAGAAGAAGGAACCAAAAGGAAAAAAUAUAUAUUUUGAUAUAAAAAAAAAAGUCAAUUUAUUGACAAAUUAGAUUAUGCAAAUUAAUAUGGGAAAAUAUUUGUUUUGUAUAUUCUACAAGUAGGGUCAAUGGGUCAACAACUAUCUUAUAAAUAUAUAAUAAAAUAUUUAAAAAAUAAAUAUUAAAAAAGAAGAAGACAAAUGACAAUUGUUUAAGGUUGACUGUGGAACAAAAAAAAUUAACUUCUAAAGUAUCAAUUAUCAAACUAACUCAAUUAAUAAUGGUAGGGAUGAAAAAAUAUAAUCUAACCAUUAUUUUAUGGAAGCUUUUUUUAUGGUUAAAACAUGCUCUAAGUUCAUUUAUUCUACAUAUAUUUAAAAUUUAGUCUCCCUAAUUUUAUUUUAAAGAAUUUAGUUCAUCUACUUUCAGAUUUAAAAAUGCACGUGAACAUGUUACUACUGUUAAAAUUCUUUUAUUAAAUUUAUUACAAUAUCAUUUUCUUAUUACAUCACUAUUAUGUAAGGUUUUCUUUUUAAUUUCAAAAUAUUACCCUAAUAACUUUAAAAAAAUUUAAUAAUGUUAACAACUUUUAACAUAUUUUAACUUUUUUUUUUAUCUCCUACCUAUAAGUCUCCAAGUUGGGAAAUAAAGAAAAAAAUCAAUAUUAAUAUAACAACUCAAAUUCUGCUCAACUAAAUUAUUUACUCUAUCCAACAACUUUAAAUAUAAUUUUUGUACUAGACAUGUUAAUGGGUCGGAUCAAUAUCGAAUUUUGAAAAAAAAUUCAAGUUUAACUUAUCCAAAUUUAUUUAAAUAGUUUAUUUCACUGUUCAAAAAAUAAUAAACAUAUUUUAAUUUUAAUUUAAUUAUAAAAUUUUUUUAUAGUAAUAUUAAUAUAUAUUUGUUUUAAUUUUUUUUUUAAUAAUUGACUUGAACUAAAUUGAAAAUUUUAAGCUCCAACCUAAUCCAUGAGCAUCUAUACUCCAUAUAUUCCAAAUAAGACAAGAGACAAGUUUCAAGGAUAAAAAAGCUUAUAUUUCAAUAUUUAUUCUUCUCAUAUUCACACAUGAUACAUAAAUACUUGUCGGGUAGAGUUUUAUGUCUUUAUUCAAGUGUUUAUUUAUAAUUAAGAGAGCUUAACUUGCAAAUCUGCACAUUGGAGAAGUCAAUCUAAGUUUACUAUAUUAGUAUUCUCGUUCGUAUUUUAGGGGGAAAUUAGUGGCUCUAUCUUAACUUUCAAAAGAUAAAAGAUUACAAAAGUUAUAUAUUGUUAUUGAAGAAAAUCAUUUCUAAAUGAGAGAAUUGAGGAAAUCCUUAACAAGAGAAGUCAACAAAGGUAGGCAAUUGACAUCAAACCACUGUAAUUAAUUAUUGUGUAAAUUUUAUUUUCAAUAUUACUAGCUUUCAUUUCAGAUUUUCUAAGUAUUGAUAUUUUUGAGCUAAUAGUAGCAUUUAAAUUCAGUAAGUUAAAAUUUGUCAUUAGUCUCUUAUUAUGUGUAGAUUAUGGAUUUAGUAACUAUUUUUUAAUUUGAUCAUUUUUAGUGUCAAUACUUGUCGAUUUUUAAAAUUUCAGUCUUGACUCAAAACAGUAGUUAUUAAAUUUAUUACUCAAGGGUGUGUUUGAUAAACAUUGAAAAUUUUUAACGUUUAAUAUUUUAAAUGUGUUUGAUAAUCAUUUUAAUUUUUUACUUAUCACUUAAUAUAGAAAAUACUUAGUUUAUUUUAUUUUAUUAAAAAAUUGAAAUGAAUUUUCUUUUUUUUAAAUUAAAUAUUCAAAUUAAUAUAUUUAUCUUUCAUCCAAAAUAAUAUGAAAUACUAUAUUAGUAACAUCAAAAUUAAAAAAUAUUAUUUUUUAAAAAUCACUAUUUACUUUUAUCAAUCAACAUAAUUAUAUUCAGAACUUAUAUUAACUAAUUUGCCAAACAAUUUUUUAAUAUAAACUCAACACUUUUGAAAUCUAAUAGUAAAAAUUUAAUAUUUAAUUUUUAGUUUAUCAAACACAUCCUAAGCAUUUAUCUAAUAAACCAUUAAAAAAAUAUUUUCAAUGAUUUUUUUUACAUGUGCUUGAUAGUCCAUAAUAAAAAUAACCCUAUAAAAAUUUCAAAUAAAAUUUAAUGGAAAAUAAUUUUAAUUAAUUAAUUCAAUUUUAAAUAUUUAAAAAUUAAGGAUAAAAUGUAAAAUAUUUUUCCAUAAUUUAAAAAAUAUAUAUAUAAGACAGUUUAAUUAUAUUUUGUACUUGACUUUAAGUGAUAUAUCAAAUAGAUUUUAUAACUUAAAUUUACAAUACUUAGUUUUUCAACACUUAAUUUUUUAGUUUAUUAAACAACACCUGAAAUAGCUUAUAUGACAUUAUACAUGCGAUAAUACAUUUGCCGUAUAAGAUUUUAGAAAAUAGCAUAAUUUAUAGGUUAUCAUUUGGGCCAGGAUUGAAAUUGUAAAAUUUGAAAUAUACAAAUACUAAAAAUGACUAAUAUCAUAAUAAAAGGACCAAAUUAACAAUUUGUGAAUAACAUAGGGACUAAUUGCAGAAUUUAACUAUCAAAUUAAUAGGAUUAAAAUUACAAUUUAAUAAUUAUUUUAUUGUAAUUUUUUGGUUAAAAGACACUUAUCCUCUUAGGUUUAGUGUUAAAUAUACUUACCCCUAUUGUCUCAACAAUGCUAUAAACUGCAUAGAGAUCUACUAAGUGUAACGCCCCAAUUUUCAGGAAUUCUGUGAAUGUUGGCAUAGGUUUAAUUAUGUUUGUGGGUCUCUAGAAGGCCCAAGCUUAAGAUAGAACCCGGUAAUUUUAGUUAAUUUUUGUUCCAUAAGAAAAAGGGAGUGAAAUUAUGAAAUAGGACCUAUGUGAAAAUGUUUGAAAAUGCUAUAGGCUAAUUUGUAGUGGCCAAAUAAAUAGAAGUGCAAAAUAGGAGGAUUUGCAUGACAAACCUCCCAUUUUACAUGAAGUGGCCAGCCAUCAUGUUGUUGUAGACAAUAUGAGCACUUGAUAUACAUAAUUCAUGGUACAAAUUGAUAAUAGGUUAGGUAAAUGUUCCAUAAUAAUGAAUUAGGUAAAUAUUUCAUGAUAAUGGGUUAGGUAAAUGUUCCAUGAUAAUUGUUUAGGUAAAUGUUCCAUGAUGGGCAUUUCAUGUCUUUUGUAUUAAAGAAUUAAAUGGAUGAAAUAUGAAAUUUUAUUAAAAGAAAAAGGGGUGAAAAGAACAAAGUUUUGUCCACCUUUGUUCAUCAUAACCGAAAGUUAGAGAAGAGAAAGGAGAGGAGAAAGCUCUUGAGUAUUCGGUCACUAGGAGGAGGAGAAUUGAAGGUAAGUUCUUGGUACCUUGCUUCUAUUUUGAGGUUCAUGAGUUCUUCUUGAUUCUACCUUAACUCUUGAAGCAUAUUUUGGUUUUUAGUUGCGUUGUGAGCAUUUAGUCAUGAAUUAAAAUGAAGGAAAUGGUUGUUGUUUCAUGUUCUUUUGAUGAAAAAUGGAAGAUAGGUGAAGUUGAGCCAAACAAAUGAGCAUGCAUGUGCCUUAGAUGCUAAAGGGAAAAAUCGGCUAACAUGUUGUGCUUUAAAAUGAUGAAAUGGAUAUUAUACUUAAGUAAAAUCAUAGAUAUGUGAUGAUUGAUUGGUGAUAUACAUGUUUAAAUAACAUGCAUGCAAGGUAUGUGUGAAAGAGUGAUUUGGUAACAAAUCUGCUUGGGAUAGCAGUAGUAACGUGACUUUGGAAAGUCACCAUAAAUUGUGGGAGAUGAAUUAGAAGCUGACUAAAUUAUGUAAUUAAAGCUUAUUGAGUCUAGUUUAAAAUGAAAUAAACAAUAACAUAUUUUGAAUUCUGUACAAUGAGAAAUUUGAUUCGUAAUGAAGAGAGGUCAGAUUAAUCAAAUAGUGAAGCAUGGGAAACUUUGAGAAAAAUCUGGUAUUGAUUGGAUAAACCAAAAAAUCUGAAAAUUUUAUGGAUAGAAGAUAUAUGAGUCUAUUUUCAGGGAAAUUAAUGGCACUUGAUUUGGAGUUUCGUAGCUCCAGUUAUAAAUGAUUUAGUGAUUGUUGCUCAGGAAGACAACUUGCAGUGAAAUUAUGAUUAUGUGGUAAACACUGACAAAAAUUUGUUAAUUAGUUGCUUAUUGAUUUCUUAUAAGCUUACUCUGAUCUGUAGGUGUGGUUGGCCGAAUAUUGUAAGGGGUUAAUACGUAGUUCGUAUUUGAAUAGUUAGAUUAACGUGUUAGUAAUCCAAUUGUAGGCGGUUCGUGUGUGGAUCUCGUCAGCAUAUCGUCGCAAACAGGUGUGUAAUGACACCCUCUCAUAGACUAGAUUGGCAAAAGCCGAAAUGCCGAAAUGCCGAAAUGCCGAAAAGUCGGUAUUUUGGGAAUUUGCGAGUGUGCGAAUGCUCGUAAGAUAGUUGGGUUUGUAUAUUUGGUAAUCUAAAGUAAUAAACUACAGUACGCGCGAUUUCGUACAUUUUGAUAAUUUGGGCUUAAUGGGUCAAAGAUCGAGUUCAUGGGCCAAUGGGCCCAAUUCGGUAAGUAUGCGCGGUAAGUGUUCUGAUAGUACGUAAAUAGUUAGGAUAUGCAUGAAAACCCUAAAAGUAGCUAAAUUACUAUAAUACCCCUAUGUAUGGAAAAUUACUGUUAUACCCCUAGGUGCAAAAUUACCGUUAUACCCCUAGGGUUAAUUUUGACUGAAAAGCAUGACGAUCUGAUUCUGUAUGAUGUAUGCCAUGAUUAUAUAUCUGUUGCAUAGGGACAUGGGUUAUAUUAUGGAGGAAGCGUCCUGGUGGCUAUGCCACAAUUAUCUGAUCUGGUGGCUCUGCCACAUAUAUCUGUUCUGGUGGCUAUGCCACGAUUAUCUGAUCUGGUGGCUCUGCCACAAUAUCUAUAUCUGGUGACUUCGUCACAAUAUCUGGCAGCCUCGCUGCGGUUUCUGUGGUGUGUAGCGGUUGGGUGGGUCUAGUAGUCUCCCCACAUGGUGUAAGGCUGGUACGGGGGUGUUAUGGAUGAAUCUGGGUUGGGUUUCUGCAUAAACAUGUAACGCUUCGAUGUGGCAUGUCGGAUCCGGUCAUAACGUCUGGGCCGGGUUUGGGGUGUUACACUAAGUAAAUUUCAAAUAAAAAGACAAUUAUACCUUUGUUAUUAUUUAUCUAUGUGUUUACUAUUUAGUUUUUUCUUUUAUCUAUUUUAAUUAUUAAAUAAUCAAAUUUUAAUUACAUAUUUGUUAUAAAAUAAAGAGAGAUGAUGAGAAUAAAGAAUAAAGAAAAUAUGAAAAUAACAGAGAAUGUACUUUAUUAAUCAAAUGGAUGAUUACAAUGCUUCGUCAGAGUCUCUAUUUAUAAGCAUAAGAAGUAUAAAAGAAGUAGAGAUCUAAUUCUAAUAACUAUUAGAAUUUAAAGUACAUUAAAACUUUAUCUUGAUCAUGAUGGACAUUCACUUAAUAAGAUAUUCAUAACACUCUCCCUUAGAUGUCCAUUAGUAGCCUUGUUAAAACCUUAUUAGGAAAAACCCUGUGGGAUAAAAACCUAAUAAAGGAAAAAGAGUACACGAUCUAUAAUAUGUUACCUCAUUAAAAACCUUACUAGGAAAACCCAAUGGGACAAAACCUCAGUUAAGGGAAAAAAAGUACAACGCGUAUUUACUUCCCCUCAUGAAAACAUAACAUACUUUCUCAUAUUCUGCGUAUUCAAUCUUGAAUACUAGUUUUUUAAAUGACUAUUUGAAUGUAUUGCUAAGCAUAUAUACCACCAUUCUUUUGAAAUCAUGAGUGAGGAAAAAUUUUGGGGAAACAUAUUUUGAUCUUUUCAGGAAUUUCAAUAAUAAUCAUAGCAAACUUUAAUCACGAUCCUUCUAUAAAAAUACAAAUAGGUAUUUUGAAUCAUUUUACAAUCCUCUUUCAUCUACUAUUGACUAAGUCAAAUUUACCACAUAUGUUCAAUUAUUUCAAUUCAUAUAAAUGAAAAAUUUCCCGAGAAUUUUAAUAUGCUUCUAGCAUUUUAAAUCCUUCAAGGAUUUUAAUAUAAACUUUACUAUAUAGUGAUUCAUAAAAGGUUGUAACAAUAUCCAUUAAACCCAAGUUAAAUCGUUUAUGAAUUGUCAAUUUAAUAAUACAUUUAAAGGUUAUUACAUCCACCACAAAAGAAUAUUAUAUCUUUUCAUAAUUAAUGACUGGACUUAGCAAAAAAAUUCAUAUUUUUAUUCCGUUUUUGCAAAACUGCUUUAAUUGCAUUUUUACUGGCUUUAUACCUUUAGAUAUUUGGACUACUGGUCCAAAAACUCCACAAAUUUAAUUUUACUUGAGUUGCGUCUUUCUAUUUUGAUCAAUUUAUUCUAUAUCUAUAUUUCUCAAUAGAUUUAUUCAGGAUCUUCAUUUUAUUUCAUUAUAAUAAUACUGCAUGCAAAAUCAUUGUCAACCACUUUUAUUAUUUGGUUCCACAUUUUCUCGAAUUGACAUAACUUUUCGAGAUCUCUUAUUUUCAUUAUUUUAAAAUUCAGUUUCAGGUACCUAAAUCUCUUCUAAAGUUUUAUUUAUUAGUUAUGUCUUGGGUCUCUUCUGGAGCACCCGCCUCCACUAUAUGACCAUCUAGAAUAAUUUUCAUAUAUGGAACUGAUCAAUCUAUUAUUUAUUCAAAUUGAUUGUCCUACAGGGACUUUGAAUCAAAUUAAAAUAUUAGAUGGUAUAUAACACUUGGUUAUUCUCAUUAAGUUUGUAAAUACAUCUAACAGUUAACUUGUAAUGAGUUAUCCUUAUUGAACUUCUGAUUCAAAUUAUUCUCCCCCUAACUCAUUACAAGUUAUUAUUUCUCUCCCCCUAAUGUAGGGAAAACUAUCGAAUCAAAAUUGUAAUCACAAAUAAACUUGUAAUUAAUAUAUAUUCCCAACUUUCUCUCAGGAUUCACUCAUCUUUGUGCCUUGGAGCAAUUGGAACAUAUACGUACAUACAAAAAUUCAAAGAUGAGAAAUAUUUAGGUAUUGAUCAAAAACCAAUUGUAAUGGGCAGUAUUUAUAAUUUAUUAGCUUGAUGCGUAUGACACGUAAAUCAACAUAAUUUCAUGUAGAAAUAAAAAGUUUAGUUUUCAUAAGUAAUUGUUUAGCUAUUAGUUUGAGGCAUUUGAUAAACAAUUCAGUUAAAUCAUUUUGUCUGUGAACAUGAGCUAUAGGAUGUUCAACUUUUAUCUCAAUUGACAUGCAAUAAUCAUUAAAAACUUGGGAUGUAUACUUACCAACAUUAGCAAGAUGAAUUGUUUUAAUUGCAUAAUAUGAAAUUAAUCAUUUAAACAAGCAAUCUCACAAACGACAGAUUGCGAGUUAAUAAUGCAUGUGAUUAUUUUGUAGAUUCAUCUACAAAAAUCAUAUAAUAUCAAAACCAUCCACAUGGUGGAUGAAUAGGCCCAUAUUUGUUUCAAAAAUGCAAGACAUUAAAUAUCAACUUUAGUUAGUGAGUUAAUAAUCAAUUUUCAUUAAGAACAAGCAACACAUGAGAAUUCUUUUAAAUUAAAUAAUCUUCUGGUUUUUUAAUGGAUGUCCAUAUGAUAUCUCAAUUAAUUUUCGCAUCAUAUACGAUCCAGGAUGGUUUAACUAGUCACGCCAAGUAGUAAACACAUUUGUAUUAGUAAACUUUUGAUUUACUUUAACAUGCAUUUUAAUUGUACUAACAAUGUUAAUAUAAAUUGUGACAAUUUGAUACUUUUACUGUUUUUUUCUUUGUAUCCACAUAUAAGUAAUAUUAUGACAUUUACUACUGAAAAUGUCUAAAUCAAUGUGAAGUUUAUAAUACCACUAAGUUAAUAAAUAUAAUUUCUAAAUAAUUAUAUGCAGUAUUCGCUUCAGGGAAUAUGCCAAAAUCUUCAAAUGCCCAAAAAACUAGUAAUAUCAAAUUUUGAGAGUGACUCUUAUUUUCCAGGUGUACAACAGGUACAUAAUCAAUGACUUUUCAUACAUAAGUUUCUCUUGCAAGUUCUCAUCAGUAAUAUUUUUCCACGUAAUUUUAAUUGAGAACUUAUUUUGAAUACUGUAGAAUAUACUUAGUUUCUAAAAAAACUUGUAACUUUAGGUGCAUCCAACCAUAAUGAACUUUAGAUAGAAUUAUCAUAUUCUAUUACUCAUAAGUAGAUCUUUCACAAUAAAAAAAUUUACAAUUUCAACCCCUUUAAUAGGGAUGAUGACAAAAGAAUAUCACAAAGAUUAUAAAUUAAUAACCCAAUCCCCUUUCUUUAUUCAUAUGAAAUAUAAUAUUUUCCUCAUUCACAAUCUCCAUAUGAGAUCCAUUAUGAAUAUCUUUUAAAACCAAUGGAUUAACGAUCAUAAAGUAUUAAUAUAUUAGCUCUUCUGGAGCUUUCGACUAAUUUUAUACUACCAAAUAUUGAAAUAAUAUUGGUUUGUUUCAGUACCAAAUAAGAUAAAUAUAUUCUAUCUGUAAUGAUAGAAUUCAUUACUACAUUUUUAUAUCAUUCCCCAAAAAAUAUUAACGGAAACAAAAUAUUUGGGUAUACGCCACAUAUGUGGCCAAUAAUCUUUCAUAUCACAUUGAUAACAUAAGUUAUCUUUACCGUUUAAAAAGUUAUCUUGAGAACUCUCAUUGCUCUCUUAUUUAUUAUUAUGUUCCCACUUUUAGCGGUCCAUUAGUAUAUAUUUUAUUUUCUUUAUGUUUACAUUCACUUCGGCGAAUGCAACAAAUCUAGUAGGACGGACUUAUAACAUGCGUGGAUUUUAAAUUAAAAUCUAUCUAUUCAUGUUGUCAUGAUUAGUCUCUAAUUAUAAUAAAUACGAUAUAAUAAAUAAUUCAUAGUAAAAUAUACCUGAAGAUCUUUAAUAUUAUCGUCAUCACUAGAAGGUAUGAGAUAGUUUGAAAAUAUUCUUGAUUUCAUAUAGAUAACGGUAUCAAAUCUUUCACCAUCCUUAAGAACAAAAAGUAAAAUAAGUUAAUCAAAAUAAUGAUAACAUCUAAUGAAAGAAGAAUGAAAAAUAAUAAUCAGAUAUGAAAUAUUAAAUAAAAGAAACUUCUUGUAAAAACUUUGCAUUUUGCCGUCAAAGAAAUUGAAAAUAAUGGAGGAUAAAUUUGAUCAUCGAUAAAAAGAACUAUCACUUUGAGCAAGAUCGUGUUGAUAACGUGUUAUAAAAUAAAAAGAGAUGGAGAGAAUAAAGAAUAAGGAAAAUAUGAAAGCAAUAUAGAAUGUACUUUAUUGAUAAUAAAAAAGUGAUUACAAUGCUUCAUCAGAGUCUCUAUUUAUAUGCAUAAGAAUUAUAUUAAAACUAUUAGAAUUUAAAAUACAUUAAAACUUUAUCUUGGUCAUGAUGGACAUUCAUUUAAUAAGAUAUUCAUAACAAUAUUGAAGUUUUUUAAAAUUAAAUGUAUUUACCUUCUUUUAUUAAAAUUUUUAUAUUUUACUUUCAAAAAAAUUUAUAUUUUAUUUAAAUUUAAUUUAAUUUUUUAAAUUAUAUUUAAUUCAAUUACAUAUCAAUCUUAAGAUGAAUUUAUUAUAUUAUUUUACGUAAUAUCAAUCAGUUACUAGUACUAAGAAUGUUGAAAUGAAAAUUUGAUUAAAAUAUAGAUUUAAAAAAUUAUCUCAAAGUUAAUAUUUUAAAUAAUUAAUUAAAUAUUUCACAUGUAUUUGUAUAAAAUUAAACAAGAAACAAAAAGUACGAGAUGACAAGAAUAAAAUAUAAUUAUCACUCCAUGAGUCCAAAUCCCACAAAGAGCUAACAUUGAGAUUUCGUUGGCAGAUGAUCAUGUGCGUCUGCUUAGUCCCCUUAUCAAGCACCAAACUAGAUACUCCUAUUUUGUGAACUCGUUAUCUCUUUAAACACUUAGGCUCUUAUUAGAGUUUAGAGACAAAACUUCUAUUGGAGACAAUAUCAACACAUUAAAGGGUUCGUCUACUCCUAAUGGGCAACACUUUGCAGAUUUCUCUUAAAGAAGUCAUUGUACCACCAAAAAGGCUUAGCUUAAUGGUAAGGUUUAGAUAUUGGAAACUUUAAGAUCUCAUGUUUGAGUCUCAAUUUAUGUAAACCAGUGUGGGUUCUCAAUCUAUAUUUAUUAUGGUUUUCGUCUCACUAUAUGUGAACUCUGCAUAAAUUUAUUUUAAUUUUGGUUUAAAUAUAUUCCAAUUAUCAGUUUGAUUGUGUUUAUAAUGAUUAAUUUUGCUUAUAGUUAUUCCAUUGUAUGUGUAAUUUUUAAAAAAAAGAAGCAUAUAUUAAUUGAAUAAUACAUUAUGUCUAACAUAUAAUUACAUUAGAAUAUAAUACAAUUUAUAAUGUAAUUUAAUAAUAAUUAAAAUAUUUUUGUAACUAAUUAAUUUUUUAUUUUUUAAUUAAAAUUAUUGAAGAUUGAAUAUAACAAAAAAAAUAGAAUAAUAGUUAACAAAGGGAUAAAAAAAAGUCUUUUUAUUUAAAAUUCAUUUAAUAAAUAACCUUUAGGAACUAUUAAAUUUUUCAUGAAAUAGAGGCAAAUCCGGGGGCUCGUAGGGGCUCGAACUCCCUAAAAUGGAAAAUUACUAUUUAGGUUAUUUAGAAAUUUUUAAAAUUUUAAAUUAAUAAAGGUAAAAUUAUACUUUGGCCGCCUUAAAAUUAUAAAAAUUUAAUUUAAUAUUUUAAAAAUUAUAAAGAUAUAGACUAUUAAAAAUUAAAAUUUCAUUUCGACCACCCUAAAAAAUUUUUUUGGCUUCGUCCCUUUCAUGAAACCUAUAUUUUUUUUAGAGAGAAAUAUUUUUUUUGAUCUCUUGCUUUCAAGAAAGUUUUCAUUUUGGGAAAUAAAAAAUAAAUAUUAAUAUAAAAAAUCAAAAUUUUCUUAAUUAAAUUAUGUGAAAUUAUUAACAAUAGGGAUGAAAAAUAUAUAAUUGAAGUGGUAUUUUAUUAUAAUUAUUUUUAGUCUCCUACUUUUUAGGCUUCACUUUGUCUCUUAAAAGAAGAACUCACUGCAGUUUUAAUCCCUCAACAAAAUGGUCAUUAAAAAAAAGAACAGAAAGAAAAACCUGUAAAUUACUUUUUACGCAUGCAAUAUUUAAAUUUUAAACAAUUUACAAUGUUUAGAGAUUUUUUAAACUGACCCACAGCUAGACCUGUCGCUGACCCGCUAGACUCGGUCCCGGUCCGUGUGUGGAUAAAAUAUAACCCGGGUCGAUUCCUUCCGGUUAGAAUUACUGUUUAAUGAUUUUAACAUAUUUUUACUCUAAUUAGACUAAUUUAAUAAUAAGGCUAAACUAUACUCAAUGUCAUAAAACUAUAAGUAAGUUUGUAUUUUGAUUAUUUAGUUUUAAAAAGUUAUAAAAUAAUUAUUAAACUAUUUGAAAGUUUUCAUUUAAGUCACUAGAUUGUUAGUUUGAAUUACUGUUGUAUGGUGUUUUUUUUGCACCGCUUGCAUCAAUCGAAAGUUCUUCUCCUCUUUCUCUUCUAUAAUUUAGUUUUUUUUCAAGAAACAGUUUUAAAUGUUAUAAAUCUACGAACCAAAAUCCAAAUAGCUUUAUUCUUUUAUUUUCAACACUGACUGUUAAUUUGACUUGGAUUCUAUCAUAUGUUCUUUUACUCGUUAAUGAGUAUUAGUUCAUCAUACUAAUCAUCGAAUCAUCACUUAAAGUUCGCUAGCCACACUUUAGAAAAAAAAAAAACCUUAACAUUAACUUAAAUGAGAACUUUUGAAUAAUUUAGUGACCAUUUUGUAACUUUUUUGAAGUUGAAUGACCAAAACGUGAAUUUACUAAUAAUUUAGUAACAUUGAAUGUAGUUUACCCUAAUAAUAAAUAUUAAUAAAAUAUUUUUUUAUAAAUUGACUACUUUGAUUCCUAACCUUUCUUCACUCCUCAAAUUGGAGAAAAUAAUGCGCUUAAUCCACGUUCUCCUUGUUGCUAUAAUAAUAACUAUGCCAAUUGAGCUAAGCUUAAUCAAAAUAUUAUUAAAAUAUUAUUUUUUUACCUUCCAUGUAUAUGUUCAAAUUUCGUAAUUGUUCCUCUCAAUAAUAUCGUCCUCAAAAUUUAAACCAUAUUUUUUCCUUAGAAAUUACAGUAUGACAAAAUUUUCACUUCAAUUCAUAUUUUAUAAACCAAUUGACUUGGCAUAUAAUUGUUACUUGUUAAUAUUUUACAUGUUUAUUCUUUUAAAAUGAUUCACAUACAUACAACAUAUAUUAUAAGGGUCAGCGAUAGUUAAAUUUCAUGUCAGAUACUCGUUUAAUAUUGGUUCAAAUAAUGUGACACCUAUCUCCUACUCCAAUAAAAAAAAAUUCAUUCAUGUUAAAUUAUUAAAAAGUAUGGAAUAAUGUUGAAAUAAAUUAUUUCGAAAAUAAUUAUUUAAUUUUUUAAAGUAUUAUUUUACAAACAUUAUAAAUUUUAAUAUAUUUUAAUAGAUAAAGUGGAAACCAAUUAAUUAUAUAUAUUCGUCUUUAACUAGGUAUCAGUUAAUGUUUCCCAAAAAGAAAUUCUUAAAUAAUGUCACUAUGUAUUACUUAAUGUUGUCCCUAAAAAUAUUAUAAAAGAAAUAUAACGGUUCCCCCAAAAAAGAAUAACAUUAAGGAAAAAAAUAAACAACAAAUAACCCCUUUUUUUAGCGUCUAAGUUUUUAUACUACAUUUAUAUUUUUAUAGGUAAGAAUGUAGAUAGUACAAGUUGAGAAUUUUAUGGUAAGAGUUAUAUUUUGUUUUGUUUUUUAUUUAAAAAAAUAAAUAAAUUAAUAUUUACAUGUUAGAUUAAAGAGUAAAAUGAUUAUUUCUAUCAAAAGUUUCAUCUAUUUCUACAGUAAAAAAUUGGUGUAGAUGAGAAAAUAAUAAGACAGUUAUAUAUGGCAUGCUAUGUGUACUUCAUGUUAAUAUAAAAUGACAAGAUUUUAAUAAUAGAAGUGGAUGGAUUUUUAAUAGAAGGAUCAGUUCACUAUUUGACAUAAUGUACAAUGAUCAAUUUGUUUAUUUGUAAGUAGAAAUGACAAAAUAUAAUCUGACUUUUAGUAUAACUUUUACUUUUUUUAUAUUAUAUCUCUCUUCAAAAAGCUUUAUAUUAUAUAAAUUUAAUUUAAUUUGAAUUUAAUUAUAAAAAAUAUGUAAAAAAGCUUAAAUAAAUUUGAAGUAAUAAAAUAAGUUAUUGAAUUCUUUCGAGUGCAGGUUAAUUAUCUUUUGAUACGUAUAAUUUUAAUUUUAAAUGGAUAUAAAGUAAGUUAAGUUUAAUUAUGUAUAUUUAUAUAAAAAAAAUUAUUUUAGAAAUACAAAAAAGUCAAAAUAUAUUAAUUGGAAUAGGUACAAUGUAGCAGCCAGCACAAGCCAGGCAGCAUGCGUAACUUUGGUAAUUUUAAUGCUUUAUUUUAUGUAUUUUGUCUUAAUUAAUUAUUAGGGAUGGAAUCUUUUUCAAGUAACGAGAAAAAAGAAAUCAAAGUUUUCGAUCUAAUCCUUUUUUUUUUCUUUAAUCCUUGGGCUUCAAAUAAUAUUAAUAAUAAGGGUAAACUAUAAAAAUAGUCACUUUUAUUUGUCUCAGAUUACAUUUUAGUCACUUACGUUAUCAUUUUGUUACGAAGUGGUUACUCUACCGUUAAACUCCAUUACCUCCCUAACGGUAGUCCUACGUGGUAGUCUAAAUAGAUUUUAAAUGUCAACUUGGAUGCCCAAUUGCUAGGAUGAAAAUAUAUUUUUAAUUAAAUAAAUUUAAUUUGGAUUGCCAAGUAAGACAUCCAAGUUGGCAUUUAAAACCCAUUUGAACUACCACGUAAGACCGCCGUUAGGGAGGUAACAAAGCUUAACGAUAGAGUGGACACUUCAUAACAAAAUAAUAACGUAAAUGACUAAAAUGUAAUCUGAUACAAACAAGAGUGACUAUUUUUGCAAUUUACCCUAAUAAUAAUUAGUCUGAGUCGAGUUCAAAUAUUGGCAAGCUUGAUUUGAAAAUUGAAAUUCAAUAUUCGGUUUGAGUUCGAUCGAGUAUUUAUUUAUAACCUUGAGUUUGAUUAAACUCGUUAAUCAAUUUCCAUAUUCAAGCUUCAUUAAACUCCUACGUAUUUAAGUUUGAGUUCAUCUUGAUAAUUAAGCUUAGAGUUAAUAAUGUAGGUUAAAGGCUAUAACAUAUUUUGAUAAUAUAAAAUAUUCAAAAUAUAUAUUAAAAUGAAAAAGUUUGAUAUGGCUCGCGAGCCAUUUGAACUAAAUAUUACUAAGAUCAAAUUCGACUCGGAUUGAUAGCUUGAAUUCGAUUUGAUAAUUACCAACUUGAAUUUUUUUUAUUUAAAGUUAAAAAAUUUAUUAAAUUAAGACUGGAGGAUCAUGCAAUUAAAUAACAAAUUUGGUUUUGAUUAUAAAAUUAAAUUUAGUGAUCAUUCAAAGAUUUUAGUUAUGGAAUUUUCGAGCUACUACACUAAAUAUAUAAUUUUAGUAAGCAAGGGCUGUUUUUCUUAUUUCUUUUAAUUAAAUUAACAUCAUAUGUCUUUUAUUUUUUUCAGUAUAUAAAUUUGUUGCAAUUAUUUAUUACAUAAUGUAUUCUUAUAAUAUUUGCAAGCAAUUGUAUUUACUUAUAUCCAUUAUUGAGUCUUAACUCGAUUGAUAUGGACAUUGUUGCUAACGUAAGAGAACGUGAGUUUGAGUGUGCUGAAGUGCAUUAUCCUCUUGUUUAUGGGUUGGAAAGAGACUAUGGGUAGUUCUACCCAUUAUGUCAAAAAAAUAAAUAUAAUCAAAACUUAUGAUGAGAUUAUUCAAAAAAAUAUAUGUAUAAGAAUAACAGCAAAAAAUAAGAAAAUUUAGAUUUAAAAAAAAACAAGUGUUUAGAUUUUUAAUGUAUUAAAAAAAAAAAGUCUUAUUCUUUGAUUUGUAUAAAAUAAUCAUUUAUUUAAAGUGAAACAUUAUUUUAUAGUGAGAGUUUAGUUGAAUACAAAUUAAAUGUCAAAGAGUUUAUUUGAAUAGAUUUAAGGGUUUAUUUCUUAAAAUAUUUAUAUUUAACAUCUAUAUUUGAAAAAUCAUUUUUUGAAAUAUUAAAAAUAAAUAAAUGAAGCCAAAUAGAAACACACAACUUAUCCAACAUUCACUCCUAAUCUGGAUUUUGUCAAUAUUUUUUUGUUAUUAAUUUCUGCCUUAACUUUGAAAAAUAAAUAAAUAAAUUGUGCCUUAAUAUGCCAUAGGUCACUAUGCUAUUUACAAAUUCAGAAUUUAGUCCCUGUACUUUUAUUUCCAAGAAUUUAAUCCUUCUACUAUCUAAAUUUCAAAAUUUAGGUGCAACAGUCAAUACUAUUAAAUUUUUUGUUAAAUUUGUUGGUGUGACAUUUUGAAAUUAAAAGAAAAUUCAUUUGGCAGUAAUGUAAUUAAAAAAAAGGUAUUGUAAUUAACUUGAAUUUAACAAAAAGAUAAAAAAAGUUAACAGUUGAACUUGAAUUUUGAAAUAUGAAAGUAAAGGGACCAAAUUGCUAGAAUUAAAAGUAUAGAGACUAAAUUUUAAAUUCACCAAUAGUAUAAGGACUUAUUUUAACCAUUAUAUAAUUAAAUUGUGAAGGGAGAAAAGUUGCUUUCAAAGAUUACAAAUUGACUGGAAAUUAUUUGUUUAAUUGUUGAUAGGCCAUUGGACCACAGACCACAAUGACAAAUCAGUCAGUCAAAUUUAUUUCAAACCCAAACCCUAGCCAUCAUUUCUUCAUCAAUAAAAUACUAUUAUGAUUACCCUUAGAUUAUUAGCAAUUAGUUUCGAGAUUUUGUCAUAUACCCUCCAAGUUGGAUGAUACAUUCAUCAUUGUUUUAAAUUUGGUUAAAAGAUGUUUUAAAGUCUCCGUACUCUUCAUACAUUUGUAAUUUUUUAUUUUUAAAAAUUUAGUCCCUCUAUUUUUUGAAUUUAAAAAUACAAAUCCAAUUAUUAAUGCAAUUAAAAUUAUUCAAAUUCAAAUUCAAAUCAAUUACAAUAUUUUUUUUACAGGGCUACCAAGUGAUUAUUUUUAUUAAUUCAAAAUAUCAUACCAACGAUUUUAACAUAAUAUUUUUAAUGAUUUAAACAAUUGAACUUGAAAUUUUAAAUCCGAAAAAUAAAGGAACUAAAUUCCUAUAAAUAAAAGUAAAAUGGACUAAAUUUCAAACAUGCAAAAACUACAAUGAUUUGGAACAUAUUUUGACCUUUUAAUUUUUUUUUUCGUAAAAGUAUUAAAAUAAAAUAGUUUUAUCAGUUUGGUUGUUAAAUGCAAAAUCAUACAUUACGUAAGUUUCUAAAUUUUAACAGCAUUGUUGGUUUGUUUUAAUAGGUUAGAUCUGAAAUAUUCCUGCAGUAUGAAUAUAUCGGAUCUGAAAUAUGCUCUAAAAGUAUUAUGAAUGUUAUUGUAUUAAGAGUUAGAUUGUAUUUUGUUCUCUCUAUUCAAAUUAUUUGUUCUCUUUACUCAAAUUAGUCCUUACACGUUACAUCAACAAGUAAAUUAGUCAUUCUCUUAAAAUUUUUUAUCUAUUUCUACUAUUAAAAAUUGGUCUCUAUAUAUUAGCAUGAGAUACAUGUGGCACACCACGUGCCACUAUUUAGUUAUUUUGUUAAUCACACUAAUUUUUAAUAAUAUAAAUAAAUAAAUUUUUAAUAAAAAAUACUAAUUUAUUUUUUAAUAUAAUAUACAUAAAUUAAUUUAUCGGUUUUUAAAUAGAAUAAGUAAAAUGUAAUAGAACCUCUAAUAUUUAAUAUCGCUGAUGGAUAAGUUAACAUAGCAGCUUUUGAUAUAUAAAAUAUAUAAUAUUAUAUAUAAAGUAGCCAGGUAAGGAGAUUGAAAUGGGUUAUAAAAUCUAAUAGGAUUCCCUUCCAUUAUUUGACAUUAUUACUCAGAGAAAUCUAAAAACCACCAUAGACAUGGGAGGUGAAACGUGUGGAGAAAUGGGGUUUGGGGCUUCAUUGAAAAAGCUCUCAAAUUCAUGGAAGAAAAUAGAAAUGAGUGUCAAUGAUGCAGUUUCAAAGAGCAAAGUUGGCAAGUUCUUCAAGCUUGAAGCAAGGAAAACUUGUUUCACAAGGGAACUAAGAGCUGGCACAGCGACUUUCUUAACAAUGGCUUAUAUCAUCACGGUCAACGCCACCAUCAUCGCUGAUUCCGGUGGCACUUGUUUGAUGGCUGAUUGUACGGUUCCGGGUAACCAAACGGCAGCUUCGCCGGAUUGUAUGUUGAAGCCUAAUCUGGGGUACGAUAACUGUGUAUCGAAAACCAAGAGUGAUCUUGUUGUAGCCACUAUUUUAUCAGCCAUGAUUGGGUCAUUUGCAAUGGGAGUGUUAGCCAAUUUGCCAUUAGGGUUAGCUCCUGGUAUGGGACCUAAUGCUUAUUUGGCUUAUAACUUAGUGGGGUUCCAUGGAUCUGGGUCUAUAUCAUAUCAAACAGCCUUGGCAGUGGUUUUAAUUGAAGGGUGUGCUUUUCUAGCCAUAUCAACAUUAGGGGUUAGAGCCAAGAUAGCUAGGCUCAUGCCUAAACCGGUUAGGUUAGCUUGUGGGGCAGGGAUUGGUUUGUUUAUUGCAUUUGUAGGGUUACAGAUACACCAAGGGGUUGGCCUUAUAGGACCUGACCCAACCACAUUGGUCACUAUCUCAGCUUGUGCUAAAAUUGACCCUAUUUCAAACACUUGUGUAGGGGGCAAAAUGAGAAGCCCCACAUUUUGGAUAGCCAUGGUGGGGUUUUUAAUGACUUGUUAUGGCUUAAUGAGAGAGAUUAAAGGAAGUAUGAUUUACGGUAUUUCAUUUAUCACAUUAGUUUCAUGGAUUAGAGGGACUUCGUUUACAAUUUUCCCAAAAACCCCACUAGGUGAUACAAAUUAUAACUAUUUCAAAAAAGUAGUGGAUUUUCAUAAAAUAGAGUCCACUUUUGGGGUUAUAAGUUUUAGUCAUUUCAAUAGGUCUGAAGUAUGGAUUGCUUUAGUCACAUUGUUAUAUGUUGAUGUGCUUGCUACAACUGGUACAUUAUACACCAUGGCUGAAAUUGGGGGGUUUUUGGAUGAUAAAGGGAGUUUUGAAGGUGAAUAUUUAGCAUACAUUGUUGAUGCUAGUUCGACUAUCGUCGGUUCGGCGUUAGGGGUUUCACCUGUAGCUACUUACGUUGAAUCAUCUGCCGGGAUUAAAGAAGGGGGUCGAACAGGAUUAACUGCUGUCGUUAUCGCCUUUUAUUUCUUCUUAUCGUUGUUUUUUACGCCGUUGUUGACAAGUGUACCACCAUGGGCUAUUGGACCUUCAUUAGUGAUUGUUGGUGUGAUGAUGAUGAAAGUGGUGAAAGAUUUAAAUUGGGAGAAUAUUAAAGAAGCAGUCCCUGCUUUUGUUACAAUGUCGACUAUGCCAUUGACUUAUUCUAUUGCUAAUGGCAUUAUUGGUGGUAUUGGGGUUUAUAUUGCACUUAGUUUAUAUGAUUUAAUGUUGGGGUUUAUCAAAUGGGUGAAUAAGAUGAGGAAAAUGGUGAUCAAAGAACAAAAUCAAGUGUCCAAUGGGGUUGAAUCAAUGGUUGAAAUCAUUUGAAUUUGUAGAGAAAAAAAAACAAGUUUUUGAUUAGUAUGAUGCAAUUUUCUUGUUAAAAAUUAUGUGUUUGUUAUUUAUUUAUUUAUUUUGUUUUUGCAGGAAAAUUGUUUUGUAAUAUCAUAGUUUUUGAGUGUCUUUUAAUAUAAAAGAAGCUCCAUUUUAUUAUUCUAAUUAAAUUUAAUUGCAUCAAAUAUCUCUAAAUUAUAAUUUUCAUUUUAAAUUGGCCUUUAGACUUAAAAAUAUUUUAAUUACAUUAUCAAAUUAUUGGUGUUAUAUUGUUAAGAUCAUUCCGUUACUAUAAAUUGUUAAUUUAACCAUUAAAUGAAAUCUCAAAUAUUAUGUGACAUAAUUUAAAAUAAAAAUUUUAAAGAAAAAUUAAUAUGAUAAAAAUAUUAGUUUUUAGAUUUUUUAAACUUUUACAAAAACCAUUAUUCAUUCUUUUUUUAGUUUUACUUUAUUUUUAGUUUUUAAUUUUAAAAUUUAUGCAACAACAUUUUACAUAUUGAUAUGAAAUUAAUAGUUUGAGAAGAUAAUUAAAAUGUUUUAAAGUUUUAGGACCAAUUCAAAAUUAGGGCAAUAGUUUGAAGACGUUUGUGCAAUUAACUCAUUAAAAUAUUAUGAUAUUUCAAAAGUAAAAGAUAUAUAAGCCGCACCGCCACCCGCCCCGGCUGUGGCCCGGCCCUAGAAGUAAAAGAUGUUCAAACUUUCACUUGCAUUAGUUCCUAAGAUAACGUAAAAAAUCUGCCAUAAUUUACAUUUUUCUGGAUUUCAUUUUCAGCUUCAAGCACUAGCACUAGCACUAGCACUAGCAAAAACAAUACAUUUAAGUAUAUAGUGUUCAUAUAUAAUGACAUUCCCUGAAAAGUUUAUGGCUACCGAAACACGAAGAAAGAGGUCAAAUCGACUUUUCCGGUUGAAAAAAAGGGAAAAUUCAGAAUCCUUGAUAAUAAUGUGAGAGAUCUAAGUGGUAUGGACCUUUGAUCGAAGAAUCCUUGUUUUACACAGACUGCUGAACUGCGGUAUCAGCACGGUUUCUUCUGGCAAUUCCAGCUUGUUCUGUAGCAGUGGAAUGGCUGAACGGUCGAGGCUGAUCUAGUCCGGACACUGUUGGAGGAGUUGCCUGUAUUGAAUGGUCAAAUUUACAGGCUGGCCCAAAUUUGCAAAUGCCGUAUCGACUAUAGUAUGAGCAGAUGCUUUGAUCCUGGAUUCCAAAAAUAUGAAACCGAGAAAGCAUUAAACGUUAAGCACGAUGAGAAAUGAGAAUUUAUUGGGUAUAAGUAUCAUGGACGCCCUAGUAUAAUUACAUGUUGUCUCCUCUACUAAAUAAAUUUCAUCUAUUUCUAAUAUUAAAAACUGAUCCCUAUAUACCAAUAUGAAGCACAUGUGACACGUCACGUGUAACCAUCUGGUUAUUUCGUCAUCCAUGUCAAUUUUUAACAGUAAAAAUAGAUGAAAAUUUUAAUACAAAAAACCAAUUGACUCCUUUUUUUGAGUAAAGGAGACAAAAUGCAAUCAACUCUUAGUACAAGAACUUCCAUGGUACUUUUACCGAAUUUAUUGUCUUCACCAAAAACAUGAAUUAUUUGCAGGAACUAAAUGCUAAAAGAGUAAUGUAUGUUAUCAGGGUUAAUCUCGGAGCCUAACGGUACAUUUGGUUUUAAUCGUUGCCUAGUUUAUAUGAAUCAAGUUGCAACUUCUAAAAUAUGCAAUUUUUUGUUGAUUUCUAAUAAGGAGCAUGUUUCAAAAUACAAGAGGAGAUACGGAGAGUUGGAAUUGCACUAUCUAGGUAUGAAACAGGAAUUGUGAAACAUUUGUAGUUACGUGAAUUACGUAUGUUUUCAUUUUCCACAUACAAAGAAAACUUUAAAAGUAUUUACCUGGUUUAUAUAUAUUUCAAAAGCAGCACAAUCUAAAAGAGAAAAAACUUACGGGUCUCAAUGGCAGGCCCUUGUCGCUGAGAGCACAUGGAGUCGGCUUUGGAACACGAUUUUUUGGAUGAUGAUAUUUGCAAUUAGAUUUGAACUUACAGUCCCCAGUUUUGAGGAAGUAACUGCACUCGGGUUGGCCAGGCCGUUCAGGGAAAUCAUCAACCACCAUCUGUGGCUGAUGAUGAGUAUAGGCAGUGGUUUCAGUUGAUGGGUUGCUCAUUACAUACGCUGGAGUUGGAUGCAAACCCCUUUCCAAUGGGGGAUAUAGCGUUGUCUUGAUAAGGCACAACAAAAUCAACUCAUUAUGCAGAACCAUAUUGGUUAUAAGUUUUCAUUAAGCAUAUCUAAUUUCUGGGAGAAGAAAAUAAUAUGCAGAACCAAUUUCAGACCUACGAGGCAAUGUAAAGCAUGGGCUUCUUUAAGAAUAGGUCGUGGUAAAAUAAACAAAAGGUAAAAAAGUCAACCAAGCAAUAAAUACCCAUUCGACAAAGGUUCUACUUGGCCUACUUUGGUGCAAGUCUAUUUUAGAGCCAAAUAAAACAAUCCAUCAUCCAUGUAACUUAACCAACAUCAAGGUUCUACUUAGUCUACUUUGGUGCAAGUCUCAACAUAUUAGACUACGACAAAGAGUGAAUAUAACAGUUUUCUUCAGUUGAAUAAGCAUGAAAAUGGAAUGUUUUUCCACAUCCUGUGCAUUGUCUCUACAUGAAUCUGCUUACAUUUGCAAGUAUUUCAGACCUUGAGAUAACAAAGUGACCAAACUGCAUGAUGAGAAAAGUGAAAGUAGGAUUUUCAACAAAAACCUUGAAGCCGGCCAAGUAUAAUAUGGUUUUUGCUAACAAGUUCCUUACAUGCACUUCUUUAAGUUAGUUUUAAAUACCAUUUAUACUGAUUCUUUUGUAUUAAUGCAGAAAAUGGCAGUUAGUUUCAUGAGUUGCAAAUUGAAAAAUAAAUUAUUCAAGUUAGUAAUCUUAAAAAGUGCCCUCAGGACACCUCUAGAACUAGUUUUAACCAUCUGACCUUCAGAAUUGAAGUAUUCCAUUUAUUACCUGAAUAUGGUUGUUUGCUAUUGCCAGUAAGAAUUGCAAAAUAAAUUUAUUAAUUAUCAGUGCAUGGGAUCAUGACAUCCUAAACCAGAUUAUCCAUUUCAUUCAUGCAAUUAAUAUAUUGAAGGUGCAGAAGCAUUUUUACACAAUUCAGAGUUAUCAAUAUGGUGAUACACACUGGAUACUUCAAGGUAUGAAUACAAGAAUCUAGGAGAACAUUUUAAAAUCAGGUGUGCAUUUCGAGAGGAAGGUAAGGACCAUUGCAAUGCUAAGAUAUUAGCAACUAUAGUAUGCUAAUAUAAAUUUAAUACAUGCUAUAGACUAUAUGAACAGAAACUUAAAACAACAUAAGAGCCAUGGUAGUACCUGAUACCCAUUCCAUUCUGGAUUUGGAGGUGGAACACCUUGAGUUGGUGAAAACAUAAUUGGAAAAUAGGCAGCACUAUCAUUUAAAGUCAUUGGUGCUGACCAGGAUGCCAUAUUCACUUGUGACGCAGCUUGCAAUGAAACAGAUCCACCAUUACCAUAUCCUGAAGGUGGUUCACAAGCUCCAGCAAGUUUAGCAUCAGGAUGAUUAAACCUGCAGUUGGCUCCAUACUUGCAGGACCCAUUACGCAUGUAAUAGGGGCACUCUUUCUCUCCCUGUGAUGAAUUAAAAAAAUUCAAAUUUCCAAAAUGAUUACUCCAAUUAAUCACUAAAUAUAUAUCUCAUAAGAUUUGAAGGAUUGUAGGACAAAUGCAAUUAUGGAAUUUGCUAAAGUUCCACUGAUAGUGUAAAGACAGAAUUAACACCUUUCGGAUGGGCAGCCCCAGAAAGUUAAGCUCUAAGAUAGGACUCACUGAAGAAUUUUGUUUUGAGUGGUUGUAUCUGCAAGCCUUCCCAAACUUACACCCGCCAGUUCUUAGGUAGUACUGCAAAAUCUCGAGCAAAAUUGAAAAACUACAGAAAUGUUACUAUCAAACUGUGCACAUUUCUUAUAUACACAUAGAUUAAAAUAGAAAAAUAUGAACUUCAGAAGCAACUGAACAAGCAGGAACAAAUAUGUUAUGGGCCAAAGUAAACCAGUCUAAAAACAAGAUUUAUUAGAACCAGUGAUUAAAGAUAUUAACAUUAGGCACUUGAAAUGCAAUGACAAUGCUAUAUAAUAGGCGGCUUCAUUGAAAGAAUGAAAAAAUAUACACAAAUUCAGUCAUAAAAUUUCCUGAAAAGAAGCAGCAUAAAUUCAAAAGAAUUUCAUCCUCAGGAAGCAAAGAACUUAAUCUCAAAAAUAAACUUGUCAUGUGUGUUCAAAUACUCAAACUGAUCCAAAACAAAACCGAACAUAAAAAACAGUUGAAAAUCAAAUUAGUAACACUCAUCAACGUGAUAGCAGUUACGAUCGUAAAGAGCACAUUUUGCAAACAUAAAUUAUGAAGAUUGACCUUGCAUUCUUGUUGGUUUGUUUUCUCUGUUGAUUCAUCCUUUUCCUUAACAGCCUUCAGACAACAUAAUUCCAAAACACCCAGAAUGAAAAAAAAAAGUCAGAAUAAAAUGGAUAAUAGGUAUGUAUCAAACAAGUCAACCACAAAACAAUAAAACAACCAAAAUCACUAAUUGUUAAGGGAUAGGGUCGGGUACCUAUGUGAAGCACAAGGCCAAAAAAUCAAAAAUUCCUUUGUUUGAAUAACAUAUCCCAAUACUAAAUUAUAUAUCAGCUGGUAAUUGAUCAAGAGCUACGUCAGAGAGAAAAGACGAAAAGACAGUUUUUGCCCUCACAAGCUGACAGAAGUAGAAAUGGUUACAUUUUCCUCAAGGCACAAGAAUUAACAACUGAAACAAAUGAAACUUCAACACUCACAGGCUCACAGCAUAAACAAACAACUGGAAAAAAAAUCAAUCAAGCAAAAAGACAGUUUCUGUUCAGCUAAAGAGAGAGCAUUUUCAGCAUAAAAUGAAACAGCCUAACAAUGAAGUGAGAAAAAAGACCUGGUUCUUCCUUCGAACAGGGUGAUUGAACUUGCAAUUGAAUCCAAAUUUGCAAAGUCCGGUUUUCAUAUAAUAAGCGCAAUCCUCUGCUUCCGGUCUCACCGGAUAAUUCGUCCUCCUUUCUUCAUCCUUCUUCACAUCAUCAUCAUUCUCAUUCUCGAUUAUGUCCUCCUCCUCCUCUUCAACGUCGUUUUGUGUCUCUACGUCAACUUUGUCCUCCUCCUCCUCUUCCUUCAAAUCGAGGUUAUUCAGCUGCUGUUCGAGAUUGUUUUCGUGGUGGUCCGUUUCCUUAACCGAGUGAUUGAGAUCAGACGGUGAGUCGUCGAGGGGAAUCGGAGUCGGAUCGGUCGAGUUAAGCCCUAAACUCAGAAGGGCGGAAUCGGUGUGAGUGGUUUCUUCAGAUUGUGACAUCGUAAAUCAACAUUUCAAAAAAAAAAACCCUAAAAUUUGCAAAAAAAAAUGGAGAGAAAAAAUAAAGAAUAAACUAAAAAGGAUAGAGACUUUGUUAUUGGGAAAUGGCAUGCAAGUGCUAAAGUGUGUGUCUGAACAUGACGAAAAGGCCGCUAAAAGGUUAAGAGAAAAGAAUCCAUAAUAUAGAAAUAAUAAUUCAAUAAGGCUUAAACCAAAAAAAGCCCCCAAACUUUAACGUAUUUUCAUUUAGGUUCUUAACCUUAUUUUUUGGUAAUUUUUGUUACCAUAGUUGGUCUAAAAAUUUUUUGGAGCCAAUCGUUAUCUGCCAUGUGGCAUCUGAGAUUUUUAAAAAAUAUAUUAAAAAAAAUUAUCUUUUAACACAAUUUUUUAAAACAUUUCAAUGUUUAGUCAUUGAAAUAUUUCAUAGCAGAACCUAGAGCAACCAUGUUGAUCACCGAAAUAUUUCAUAUAUCUCCCCUGUAGCAUUGUGUUCGUUCAUGUAUAUUUCACAUAACAAUUUGUUAAUUUAUCACAAAUAUUUCGAUACAUAUACAAGGCACUAAGCAGUGCUAAACCCAAACAACAUACAUACAUAUCUUUAAAUUACCAAGACAAAUUAAUGAUUCGAAGAUUUCGACUUUUUUCUUAAGUCAUAUCGAUUUUAAAAAAUAAAAUAGUUGCAUUUUUUUUUAUUACAGAAUCGAUUUGAAAGUUUAAGUUUCUCAAAUCAAUUUUAAAAUUUCAAUAAAUAAAAUCGAUUCAGAAGAACACAAAAUAAAUCAACAACAAUCGAAAAUCGAUUGAAUGGGUUUAGGAAUUGAAUCGAAGAACACAAAAUCAAUGGGUUCUUUUGACUGAAAGGUUUUUUUUUUUUUCUUUUUUGGUUUUGGCUGUUGAAUUGAAUGAACCAAGGAUUUGGGUGGGUAAUUUUUUUGAGAUUCGGUAAAUUAAUUCUACUAAUAAUUUUUUUCUUUUCUAUUUUUUUCAUUUUAUAUAAUCAAAAUUUUAUUACAAUAAUAAAAAAACCCUCCUCCCAAUCAUUCUUCAUUUUAAUAACUAAACGUCACGUCACGACAUGUCGAUGUGAUUUUUAAUUUCUCAUUUAAACUAAAUCUAAAUUUUAAAGUUUUAAAUUGACUUAAUUUUUAUUGUGAUCGGAAGGAUCUAUUGCCCAAUAUGCGAACAAUUAAUGUCACAAUAAUAUGGAAAUAAAAGUAUGUCACAACUUGGUCCUUGAUCACAUAAAAGAAGUUGAUUUUCAUCACAUUAGUCAAACUAGAAAUAUGUCAUUUUUAGCUGUAUUUAUUUCUAUUUUGAUUGAAUGAUAGAGACUCGUACUUUUCAUUUCUCACGAGGUGAAUGUAUGAUAACGGUAAAAUAUGUAAUGUUAUUGAUAUGCUUUCAAUCAAUAAUCUAUCAAUCACAAUAACUUCUACAUUCAAUUCUUGAAUAUUACUCGUUAAUGUGUUCAACAUGUUUACUAACACUAAGGUUGAUUACAUGGGUUUAUUGAUUAAAUGGCUGAUGAGGCAUUUAAUGAGCUCCUAUAAGAUACAUAUAUUUAAAUUCUUCAAAAUGCUACAUCUUACAUCCUCCAAAUGAUCAGAGGUGUGCUGAUGCCAAAAAUAUUCAACAAUAAUAAUUCAUGUAAUAUAUGCCUCGUUGUUAGUUGAUUUCUGAAUGAUCACAAGAUAUAAUUAGGGGUAUGUUGUUUUGGCAUGUUUAUGUAGAGUGCAUGUAUAGCGUGCAAAUAGGAGAGCAUGGAGAUAAAUGGUUGCCUUGUAAGUUUCGGUAAACUACAUUAGUAGUCACCCAACUAUGAUUUUUUUUUUUUGGUCACCUAACUAUGAAAAGUUACAAAAUGGUUACUCAACUAUUAAUAAUUUUUCUUUUUUGGUCUUCUGACUAUAUUAGAUUUUUGGGUGUUUUCAUUUUUACGUUAGCCAACUAGUGACCACACAAGACAAAAUUGAAUAGUUGGCUGACUAUUUUGUCACUUUUCAUAGUUGGAUGACCAAAAAAGAAAUUUACUAAUAGUUAAAUGACCAUUUUAUAACUUUUCAUGGCUGACUGACAAAAAAAACCCAUAGUUGAGUGACCUCUACCAUAAUUUAUCCUAUAAUUUUACUAUCAUAAGCAUUUUGUGGAACACAUUUUUUAUAAGCAUACAUUAUAAAAUGUAUUAGAGUAUAAAUGUUUUAUAUUUUUACUAAUAUUUAAUACUUUAGCUGGACUGAUAAUUGUGACUAUACAUUUUAUUAGAAGGAUAAUAUUACAUGGUUGCAAUCACAAAUUAAUCUUCAAUGUAACAAUCCAUUUUUAGUGGUAUUGAAAACUGUAGUUUUGGAAUUUCGUGUUCUAAUAAUCGAGUCAGUAAAUAUUAUUUAUAAUAUUUACGAGUCUAGUAUAAUAUUGUAGGACCCAAAUUUUGCCCGGGCCCAACAAGCAAAGCUCAAAACACCAAAUAAGUUAACAGUCCAAUUAGCACCCCAUUAAACCAACCAUUAACUCCAUCACCCCACUUGCCACUAACUUCAUCACCCUACGUGCCACUAGGGGUGUUCAAUCGGUUAACCGACCCGAAAUAACAUUAACCGAAUUAAUCGACCCUUCAAAAUUUUUAACCGUCAAUCGAACCGAAAUUUUUUUGGUUAACCGAAUUAACCGAAAAAUAUAUAUAUUUUUUUAUUUUUGGUUAAAAUAAGUAUAAAAUUAAUCGAAUUUAUCGAAUUACCCGAAUUACCCAAAUUAACCGAAUUAACCAAAUUAUUUGUAUAAAAUUAUAUAUUUUUUAUUUUUUUAUUUUUAGUUUUAGGUUUUUAUUUUUAUUUAUUAAAUUAUUUGUAAUUUUUAUAAUUGAGUUGGGUACUUGGGUUAAUAUAUAUUAGAUUGGGUAUUUGGGUUUAUGUUGGAUUGGGUUUGAGUGAAUAGUGGGCUAUUAAUAUAUUAUAAUUUUAUUUAUUAUUUUUUGAGUUAAACCGAAAAAAUUCGGUUAACCGACCGGUUUCGAACCGAAUUAACCGUUAACCGAAAACUUAAAAAAUUAUUAACCGUCCCCCGACCGAAUUAAUUCGGUUAACCGACCGAUUAACCGAAUUCGAUCGGUUAACCGAAUUUUUUCGAUUUUACCUGAAUUUUGCACACCCCUACUUGCCACUAACUCCAUCACCCCACUUGCUUGCAAAAAGAAAGAGGCAAUCGGUUAGCAAACAAGUUGUAAAAUUUGGCUAUAAAAGCCAUUCAAAACCAUUGUAAUCGAGUUUCUGUUUUUUGGAGAAAAAAGGAGAGAGAUUCAAAUACAAGAAAAAGAGAGACUUUCAAUACAAGAAAUACACAAGAUUAAUAAAAAAUCAAAGCAAAAGAGGGUUUUUUUUUUUAGGUCUGGCCGCCGUAUAUGGUGGCGCCUACGGUGGCGCGUGGAGGUCCGGCGACUGGAGCAAGGCUGGACCGAUGUUUUAGAAGGGAGGGGGAGAGUGUUUAAUAUUAUUAUUAUUAUUGUAAGGCCCAAAUUUUGCCCGGGGCUCAAUAAAACCAAACCAACUUAAACCAACCUUAGCCCAACCCAAACAAAAAAAAAAUCCUAGGUGUGCCGCCCUACUGUCUGCCACCAUAACCUACUCCAUAGUUGGCCACCCACCCCCAUUUUGCUCCACUUGCCUGCAAUGGAAAAGGCAAAUAAAUUAAAAAAAGAACAAGUUGUAAAAUGUUAGAAAAACCUACAAUCUCAAUGUAAUGGAGGGGAUUUUGGAUUCUAUCUCAUUUUUUCGGCUAAAAAUAGAAGCCGAAAGCAAUCGUAAAAGGGGGAUCCUCAUUCUUGUAUGCAAGGAUUUUUCAGAAAUAAAAAGGAGAAAAAAAAACAAAAAAAGGGUUGAUUUCCGAUCGUAUUCUCUUGGUUUUCAUUUUGUUCUUUAGUUUCUUUUUUAUUUUUGUUUACAAAUCUAUUAAACGAGAGUGGGCAUAAAAAAAAAGAGGAGAAGAGAGUCUUACCGGAUCCACCCCGUGGCUGCAUCGUCGGAGUCCUCCUCUCCGUUCGGCACGGUGAACGACGGCGAUGAUGGGUUUCCAAAAUUCUAGCUGAAAAGGGGGAGGGGGAGAGAACAGAGAAGCUCUCUAUUGUUUUUGUUUAAAAUUGGGGCUGGUAAUGAAAUAAAAAAAGGGGUUUUUUUGGUUUAAAUGAUGAUGAUGAAACUAACAACAUGUUUGGUUUGGUGUAUUGGCUAAGCCAAUACACCCAUAAUCGGUGGACCCCACCUAAUCCCUCUCUAUCCCGUGUUUGGUUUAAAGUAUUGGUAAUACGGGUGUAAUCGGUUACUUUCCUAAUCGGUGAAAAUCACCGAUUUCUAUUCCCCCCAUUUUGCCCAGAUUAGGAACGACUUCAGCAAACCCUCCCUGUUUUACCCUCCCCGAUCCCCUGUGUUCCUCUUCCGUUCCUUCAAGCUUGCUCCCCCCAUUUCAUUUCUUUUCUUUUUUGGCCGAUUUGCUUUCUGUCGAUUUGCUCUCUGUUUUACCCUCCCGAUUGCCUUCCCUAUUGUCUUCCUUCCUUCUACCUUCUGCCCAUUUGCUCAAGUUUCGACUGAUUUCCUUCUACCUUCUCCCUUCUUUUCUUUUUCUUUACAACUUAUCUGUCACUCUUUCGAUUGGCCUUCUCAACCAGUCGACACUCUUUCGAUUGCUCUCAAGUAGUGGGUUUCGACACUCUUUCGACCGAUUGCUCUCUCGAAAGGUAAAGGUUACUGCCUUGUUAGUGCAAAGACGAGUGGUUGUGACCGGGAUGGGAGUAGUAACUCCGCUUGGACAUGAGCCUGAUGUUUUCUAUAACAACCUGCUCGAGGGUGUUAGUGUAACACCCCGUACCCGAGACCGUUGUCGGAGUCGGACACGAGGGGUUCACAGACUAAAUUCGCUUACUAUCGCAGUCCAUUUUAAAAUUUUCCAGGCAGUUGGCUAACUGCGACACUGUCACCUUAAAAAUCAUAUCUUGAGUUUCACAACUCGAAAAUCAGUUUCGUAAUUUUUACCUGAAACUAGACUCAUAUGCCCAUCUACAUAUUUUUUUCUAGAAUUUUUGGUCAGGCCAAUUAGUACAGUUUAUUAGUCAAAGUCUCCCAUGUUACAGGGAUCGACUACACUGACCUUUUCGCAUUACGACUUGGAUAUCUCCCUGCACAGAGCUUCAAUACUGAUGCCGUUUGUUUCUAUAGAAACUAGACUCAGAGAAGAAUCUAUACAUAUAUGGAAUGACUCCUAAUUAUCUCUGGUUAAUUUAUAAUGAAUUUCCAAAGUCGGAACAGAGAAUCCAGAAACCGUUCUGGCUCUGUCUCACGAGAACCUGAAUAUCUCUUAACAUACUGUCCAUAUGAUCGUUUCGUUACUUUCCUAUGAAAAUAGAUUCAUCAAGGUUCGUUUACAUAAUUUAUUCAUUAUUUAAUUCCAAUCCUACUAUUUUUAGUGAUUUUCCAAAUCUACAUCACUGCUGCUGCCAGCAUCUGCCUUUAAGGUAGACUUUACCUAUUUCAUAGUUUCUAUUAUUCAACUAGCCCUUUUAGCAUGAAUAGCACAAAUUAUGAUAGUGAUUAACCAUUCUAUACCAAAUGAUUAUAACAUUAUGCUCAAACAUAUAUAAGCCAUUUUUGCAUGGCUAUAUACAUUAACCAAAAUAUUCUUCCGCCACUAGUCUAUUUUAUACAUGGCAUAAGAUAAUCCAAAACAUAGCAGUACCAAACAGUGGAUAGUGAUAGUGUGACUAGUUGCUGACGAUCCCCGAGCCUGUAGCUUCGCAAUGAGAUCUAUAAAACAGAGGAAACAGAGUAAACGGAGUAAGCAUUACAAUGCUUAGUAAGUUUUAAGCAGUGUCAACAGAUAACAAUCAAAUUAUAACAUAGUUGUUCGUAUUUUUAUUUCACUCUUCCUUCGGGCAUACCAUCCCUUUACCGAAUAUGCACAUCUCAUCAUAUACAAUAGGCAGAUAAACUUUCACAUAAAAGUGAGCUCAUGUGACAUAGAUAUAUCGUAUGAUUUCACAUAACCUCUCACUCUGAUCCGAUGUCACAUAAUCAUAGGAAUAGUCUCAUAGAUUGCUCUCGUAUGCGUCACAUAACUACCUUAUGAUUUAGUGCAAAUCAAGCUCACAUAUAAACUUGGAGUACAUACCUGUUUAACCUUUCGCAUUGAAUAUAUUUAUAAGCAAUUCUUAUUACGAAGUCUUACCCGGACAUAAUCUCUACACGAAGUUAUCGGGUCUUACCCGGACAAAAUCCCCACACGUAGUCAUCGGGUCUUUAGAGCUCGAAUAUAGUACGAGCACGAAGCUUACGGACAUUAAUCAAUGAUAAUAUUCUCGCAUAAAGCCUGCGGGGUUUUAACCCGGAUAUAGUACUGACACAAAUGCCCUUCGGGACUUAUCACAUUCAUCACAUCGGCCAUUAGGCCCUAUCACAUAUAUACACACUUUCACAUUCAUCACAUCGGCCAUUAGGCCCUAUCACAUAUAUAUACACUUUCACAUUCAUCACAUCGGCCAUUAGGCCUUAUCACAUAUAUACACUUUCACAUUCUCAAAGUAAGCUAUUUUAGCUUAGUUAUAAGCAAUUUAAACAAUUUAAAAGACAUUAAAAACUCAAUUUGAGUAAGCAAGUCCUGCUACUAAAAUCACAUAUUCAACCAAACUUGACUACCAAUAUAUAUCAAUCAGUCAAGUUUAAUACCUAACAUGUUCGAAUAUACAUAAACUCUAAAAAUAAUAAUAAUAAUUACUAAACACUUCCCAUCUUACCAUUUAAUACCUAGUCGAAUGUUCACUCAUAUAUAAAAUAAAUAAUCAAGCAUUAUUAUAUAUAUAUCAUAUCAUUUUAUUAUUAUUAUCAUUAUUUAUUUUAUUUUAUACUUUUCAACUCAUCCAUCUCUCAUUUUUCCAAAUCUAUCAUACAUAUUAUAUUUAUAACUACCCACCAUAUAAUUUCAAGUUCAAUAAUAUCAACCACAAAGGUUUGAUUACGUACCUUCAUUAUUACGAACAUAAAUAUUACACUACUACUCUUGCAUUUGAUAAUUAGAUCGUCUGAUCAUUUUCCUUCACCCGUUGUAUUCGCACACUUAGUGCUAUUGUUUAACUAGAAAGGCCAUGAAAUCGUACACUUAGUGCUUAAUAUUUUCCUUCGCACACUUAGUGCUCGAUAAUCAAACUCGCAUGCUUAGUGAAAUUUUCAUAUUUAUUAUUUCUAUUUGCAUUCGACAACACCAAGAUUUUAUAUAUUUCAACGUGGCUCACACAAAUAUAUAAAUUAUAUUUAUUUAAACCAACAAUAAAUAUUUGCUUAACGACUUACCUCGGAUUUCGACGGACAGUCGAAUUCGACUACUCAACGAUUUUUUUUUAUUUUCCCCGAUCCAUGUCCGAUCUUUUUGGUUCUUGAUCUAAAAAUUUCGAAAUUAAUCUCAUUCAAAUAGAAUUUCCUUCAUUUAGGUACAAAUACACAUAAUUGAACAAUUUACCAAUUUACCCCUAAUAUUAUGCACUUUUACAAUUUAAUCCAAUUUUCUCAAAACACAAAAUAUGAAGAAUUUGUAUAUACAAUGCUAGGGCCGAAUGUUCACUAAGCUUAUAUAAAUCCUCCCAUUUCACUAAUUUCACAAUCUAGUCCUUCAAUUUAGUAUUUUUUUUCAAUUUAACCCUAAAUGCUCAAAAUUACCAAAAAUCCCAAUACCAAAAUGUUAAUCUAACACAUUUAUUUUAUUUUCUCACAUCAAACGUAAAUUUUAUCAAACUAUUAACAAUGACACUUCAUGACUAUAUCAUCAAUUUCAAAAUUUCAAGCAUGGGCUUUAUAGUAUUCAAAGCAACUAUCUCAAAAGUGUAAAAAUUAACAAAAACCAAACUCAAAUCACUUACCUAAUUGAACAUGCAAGGACAGAAAAUAUCAAAGCUGAAACUUUCCUUUCUUUCUCUUAGUUUCGGCCGAGUAAAAAUAAAAGAAAGAUGAACACUUUCAUCUUUUAUUAAAUAUAAUAUAUUAACAUAUAUUAAAGUAUACCAUAAUGCCAUAAAAUAUAACAAACAAUUCAAGUCAUUAAUCCAUGCAUAUUGGUCGGCCACCAAUUCCUAUUUAUGGCCAAAUUGCAACCUUAAUAUUCCAUAAUAUAAAAACAAUCAUAAUUUGGCCCUUAUACAUUAACCCUUAAAUUUUCCAUUUUACGCGAUUAAACCAUUUUUUCAUCAAUCGACCUCCAAACACUAAAAUUUUUAAACGAAACUUUCACAAAAGCAACUUCACACAUUUUAAACAUAGAAAAUGAUAUUUAAAUAUUAUUCUAACUCGGAUUCGUGGUCCCGAAACCACCGUUCCAAUUAAGGUCCAAAUUGGGCUGUUACUUUAUUUAUUUUUAUUUAAUACAUUUUAAUAUUCCAUUUACCUUUUUGUCCUUUAUAAUAAUACAUAAUUUCAUAUAUGCCAAACCACCAAUCUCCACUAUCAUAAAGUAAUGGUUUAAUUGAUAAAUAGGGACUUCUACUUUAGUAAAACAUGGAAAAUAAACACUUAAACAAUUAGAAUGUAACUUUUUGCAUUUUACGCGAUUUAGUCCUUUUUGCUUAAUUAACUAUCGAAACGAUAAAAUUUUUCAACGAAACUUUAAUACCAUCUUUUUGCCACUUUGAAAAUAUUUAUAAAAAUAUUUACGACUCGAUUUAUAGAAAUGAGGUCCUGAUACCUCAUUUCCUAAACCCACUUGACCUUAGGGUCAUACCACUUGAACUUAAUAAAUCACUUAUAAAACAAAUAUCACAAUAUCAAAAAUAUUUUUAAAAAUCACAAUUAACUCGUAAAUAUUAAAUAUAAUAUUUACAAACCUACUCGCCGGAUUUGGUGACCCCGAAACCACUGUUCCAGUUAAUCCUAAAAACGGGCUGUUACAGUUAGUGGUAUAAGUGAAAUCGAGACUUUUGACUGCGCUCAGUUUCCGAAAGUAAGUUGUCUUUGGUUGGGAUCUCUUGUUUUGCUCUUGUUUGUACUGCUGCUCGUUCUUACUGCUCCUGUUUUCUCUCCAGAGGAUUGCUGGAGAGAUCAAAUCUUUCUCAACUGAUGGAUGGGUCGCACCAAAAUUUUCCAAGAGGAUGGACAAAUUCAUGCUUUAUUCUCUUACUGCCGGAAAGAAAGCUUUGCAAGAUGGGGGAGUAAAUGAAGAUGUAAUGGAGGAGUUAGAUAAAACGAAAUGCGGAGUUUUGAUUGGUUCAGCAAUGGGUGGCAUGAAGGUAAAAUCUUUUUCUAGAAGAAGGAAAGUGUCAUGGUAUAUAGUUUUCUUUCUAUAUCUAUCGAUCCAUAUACAUUGCUUGUUGUGGAAUGAACAGGUUUUCAACGAUGCGAUUGAAGCUUUGAGGAUCUCAUACAGGAAGAUGAAUCCUUUUUGCGUACCGUUUGCUACAACAAAUAUGGGUUCUACAAUGCUUGCAAUGGAUUUGGUUAGCUUAAAUUUAGAUUCUGCAAUGUUAAGAUAGACCUUGAUGGAUGUUAAAAUUUCGAGUUUGAGCUUUAAACUGAUGAUUUCUUCAGGGAUGGAUGGGUCCUAAUUAUUCAAUCUAGGCUUUUAUAUGUAUAUUAUUUUUGCAUGACCUCUAUAUGCACCUGAACGAUGUAUAUGUACCUGAACGAUAAUAUUUUAUAUGAUAUUGAUAAUAUUAAGAAGUCCUAAUUGCAAUGACCUCUAUAUGCCUUAAGAGUAUGAUUUUUCAUUUGAGAAAAUGGUUAUGCUGUGUUUAUUUUACUUCAUUUCUAUCUUUUAAUGAGAAAGAAGGGGCCCUUGUUUUCAAUGUUGAGUGUUGAAAUAUAAGUCCAAUUAGCAUGGUUUUAAGUCCUAAGGUAGUCAGCAUUGAGUUAUUCUUAAUGUUUAGCAUGAUCUUCAUGUUUUGGCAUCUGUUGGGGUAUGCUUGAUUGAUUUCCCUUGAUAUAUGAUAUUGAUUGACUUUACAUUGGGUUUUAUUAUGAAUUAGGGAUACACUAGUUUACAUGUAGAGAAUGCUGUCUUUGCUUUGUGUGACUGUUUUAUCUGUCACGUUUUUACUGUUAGUGCAUCUAGUUUCCAAGCAUAUAAUAACUUAAAGCAUUAUUUAGUAUUUAGUUAUUUGUAAGCUGUCUUUAAUUAUCUGUUAGUGAAGUAAGUACUCACUUUUUGCUUCAUUGACCAAGCUUUAACUGACCUAUAUCAAGUUGCGUUAUGUUUCUUGAGGAUUACUUCUUAGCUGUCUUUCCCGGUAGAACUUGCUAAAUGAUUGGCAAUAGAGAUUUCCUUUAACCGUCCAACCAUUUUUUGAUCGGCCAGUUGUUGUAAUUACAACUUUCUUUUGGAUUUUACAAGUUCCCUACUAUCUUGAUGAAGCUACAGGAUGGGGUUUGGAAGUAUCUGAGCUUAAGAAACAACUGCAGGAAGCCAAGUCUAAUGGCAUCACUGUUAGGGCCUUGGUUGUAAUAAAUCCAGGCAACCCAACAGGACAGGUAUCAAUGAAAUGCUUUCAGAAAAGUAUAUUAUAAAUGAAAAAGGUUUAUGCAAUUUCAUAUUUCUAUUAUUUCAUUUACGGAAUGUGAAUGAGCUUAUACAAAGUUUGGAAUUUUGACACAGAAUAUAAACACUUUUACUGUCUCCAGGGUAUUAUGGAGAGUGUGGAAAAAGGGGAGGUUACAUGGAGGUUACUGGGUUUGGUGCUGAUGUGAGGGAGCAUAUAUACAAACUAGCAUCUGUGAAUGUGUGUUCUAACAUCACUGGUCAAAUUCUUGCUAGUCUUGUAAUGAGUCCACCUAAGGUUAUAUCUUUUGCCAUUUAAAGCCAGUUAUCUGUUUGUAUUCAAAUGACAUUGGAUGUAUGACAUAGGACUAAAUAGAUUUUGAGCUUUGACAAGCUGCUUAUAAGCAUUGUUUCUUAUAGAAGAAACACAUUAUUGAAGAAAGCUUUUGAAUCUCCCAACUAUUGGAUUUGGGUUUCUUUUUGACAAUUUAUUUAUUGUGCUUUUGUUUAGAUGAUGAGAAAGGAAAGUCAAGAAUUAUAUUUACUCGUUAAGUUAAAUGAAGAUAUUUGUAAUUUAAAAAAAUAAAAAUUCAAUAUAAAUUUAAAAUAAGAGUUUAACUAAAAAAUAAGAGUUAGUGGCAAAAAUUAAUAAAAUUUAAAUUUUAGUGGUAAAAUUCAAUAACAUAAAAAUUAAGUUACAAAUUUACUCAUAUUUUUUAAAAAAUAACGGCAAAUAUAAAUAAAAAUAAAGUACAGUGACAAAUUUCAAUAUUUAUCUAUAGUAUGAUGAUAAUUUCGCACUUUAAUAUUUUUAAGAAAACAAUAUUUGAAUUUUUUAGAAUGGUACGGUAAAAAAAAAUUUAAAACAUAAUUAUUGUGCCAGCUAUUUUAAAAUUUUUACCAAACACAAUUUUUAAAAUUUUUAGAUAAUUUGGUAAGAAAUUAACUGUAUUCCAAUUAUUAAAUAAUAUGGUAAUUUAAAAUAAUUUUAGUACAAGAUCAUAUAUAUCUAAUAUAAUUAAUCGUCAUUAAUUUGAAUUUAUAUUAAAUAAGUAAUUGAAAAUAUAUAUUUUAUUAAAUUAUAUUUAAUAAUAAUUAUGUUAAAUUAUAUUUCAUAGUAUUAUAUAUUAUGAUUUUAGAAAAUUCAUAUAAGAAUAUUUAAUAUUAAGAAUUUUAUUAAAUUAUAUAUUUUAAUUAAAAUAUAUUUAAUAGUAAUUAUGUUAAUUUAUAUUUUACAGUAUCAUAUAUUAUGAUUUCAGUAAAUUAAUAUAAGAAUAUUAAUUAUUAAGAAUUUUAUUAAAUUAUAUAUUUUAAUUAAAAUAUAUUUAAUAAAAAUUAUGUUUAAAUAUGAUUAAAUUAUUUAUUAUUGAUAAUAAUAAUCUUAUUAUAAUUUAAAUAACAAUAACAAUAAUCAUUUACCAAAACAAAUUUAUGCUAAGGGUAUUCUAGUCAUUUUAGUUUUUUCCAUUAUGCUAUUACACCUCUAUUACAUUCAACCAAACACAAGAUUACUAUUACGCCUCUAUUCCAUUACAUUCAACCAAACAGUUGAUUUGCUAUUACACCUCUAAUCCAAUACACAUCUAAUCCAAUACACAUCUAAUCCAAUACAGCGAACCAAACGCACCCUAAGUGUUUAGUGGAGUGGGGAUGUGCAUUAUCCCUAAAUGGGAGAUUUUCUAGAUUAGUCCUUCUCCUUUGCAACUCUAUUCUACUAGACCCUAUUUUCUGUUUUCUUUUGUUUUUUUAAUUUAGCUCUUAGAUUUCGUUUGGGUUACAUCUGGGUCCUUUGAAACACUGCGCAUAAAAGGCUGGGAAUAUUUCCCAACUAGUCCCUCGUUGUUUCAGAGUGAUUCAUUUCGAUCCUUGAUGGCCUUCUUUUCAUUAUUUACAAUAUGAGUCCCUCUUCCCUUACAUGUAUCUCAUUUUAGCUCAAAUUCUAACUUUUUAAUUUAUCCCUUAAAGUUCAUUUCUUUUUUAUUUUCGGUUCCUUGACCAUUUAAUCUUGUUUAUUUUUCAUUUUUUUUUAUUAUUUUCAAUAUUCUGCUUUUAUUUUUAUUUUCCUUAGUAUUUUAUUUACUUGCUCUUUUUAAAUUCAACCCCUUAUAUUUUAUUUUAUUUUCAUAUUUAUUGAUAUACCUAUAUUUUACGCCUUAGACUUCAUUUUUUUUUAUGUUAAAUCAAAUCCUUUUAGUUUCCAUUCUUUUUUUCUUUAUUUUUAUUUCACCAUUGUUUUGUACUAUUCUUUUGCCUUUAUUUUUACAUUCAUGGACAACUGCUCAUUGUAUUAUUACUAUUAAUAUCCUUAUCACGUUGUCUUUUUUGCUCCAUCAAUAUUAUUUGUUAUUUUUGUCUUAUUUGUUCUAUUUAUUUUAUUUUCUGUUUAUAAUUUCAAACUAAAUUGUUUUGUUUAUUAUCUUGUUCAUCUACUUAUUUCUUUAUUCCUUUAACUUUUUAUACUAAAAAGUUCAUUUAUUUAUGUUUUUUUAGAUGCUCUUCGAUUUUACUAUUAUUAUUAUUAUUAUUAUUUAGUCCCAUAAUAAUUUCUUUUAUGAAUUCUUUUAAAUUUAUCUUAAUAUAUUUUUAUGUACAUAAGUCAUUUUUCUAGAACAUAUUUUACUACAUAUUGUUUUGAUUUUAAAUCUCACAUUUAAAUACUAUUUUUAUAUAUAUUCCUUUGUUAACUUUAUACGGAUACAUCAUCUCUAAAAUGUUUAUGCACAUUAUUUGACUCAAAUUUCCUCCUUCGUAAUCUUUAUUUUAAUAAUUAUUUAUAUGUUUGUAGUUUGCCCAUGUUGUUUUGUAUAUAUCAUGAGUGUUUUGUUGUUUUUAUCGUUUUAUAAGUUAUUACAUUACAUUUGCGAUUGGUACUUGGUGUUGCUAUCUUAAUUUUAUUUAUUUAGGUUUGAAAACUUGUUGGAGUUCGUACUUUGAUUUGUUUCUUUGGUUAUAUUUUUAGCUUUCAUGAUUUUGAUUGUUAAUGUUUGGAUGUGAGCUUACUGCUAUUUUAUGCACGUUAAGUUUUUUAUUAUUAUUAUUUGUUUAUUCAUCUUUACACUAUUUUUAUUCACUAAUAGAGUUCGCUAUCCAUGCAUAUCGUCUCAUCUUUAUAACUUCGCCUUUUACUUGCAAUUGACUCGUUGGGAUUUUAAACUUGUUAAUCUAAAAUAAUUAUUCCAUUUUAUUUCAAGUCAAAUUAAUACGUUUUGAGCUAGUUUCACAAUUAUUUAAAACGAAGGCGAUAUUCAAUAUUUGACAAUUUGUGGAAUCGUGCCCUAACGUGUUGGGUUGCAAUUUCUCGUUCGCUCAAAGUAAUCGAAUGUCUCUUCAGAAUUUCACUCGUAUCUUCCAAGGUGAGGCAAUGGUCAAUGUUUGGAAAUUCGAGGAAUCGUGCCCUAUUGUGCUGGGUAUCGAUUUUUCGUUGAACCAAAUAGUUGGGCAUCCUUUUGUUAUUUUCGAAUUGCAAAUUUUCAAACGUCGAAACAAGAAGAUUUUUGGCAAUGGACUUGGGUUAUUCAAAUGUUAUUAACAAGAACCAUAUUUCAAAAACAUUUUUAAUUUUAGACAAAAGGACAAUAUUUAAUCGAUUUGGUACCAAUUUUGGGCGUAAUGAGGGUGCUAAUCCUUCCUCAUACGUAACCGACUCCCGAGCCUAUUUUCUCAUGUUUUCGUAGACCAAAAUCAUUGUUUUAGUAAACCAAAAUGUUUUAUUAAAACAACCCAAAUUUCUAGGUGAUCCAAUCACACCUAAACAAGAAAAGAUUGGUGGCGACUCCAUUUUCGCUCUCCAAAAAGUCGAUCCAUCAUUUUUAAAUCGAAAUAAAAAAAUGAUUUCGACAAUUAUUAUUAUUAUUAUUAUUAAUCUAUAUACUAUUACUGUUUUCUUUUUUAUUGUUAUUAGUAGUAACUAGAGGUGAUCAUGGGCCGACUCGGGCCCAGACAAAAUUUUAGGCCUGUAUACUAGGCCCGGGUCCAACCCGGCCCGAAAUAUGAGCCUAAAAAUUUGUCCAAGCCCGGCCCAAAAUAAAAUUGCUAAGCCCGAGCCCGGCCCAUAUUGAUUUUUUUCUUAUUUCAUUAAAUAAAAAAAAUUAAAAAUAUAAUAAAUCAAAUAUAUUUAAAAACAUAAAAACAAAUAUUAAAACAAAUAAAAAUAAUACUAAAACAAUUCUUAAAACAAUACACAAAUUAACAAUAUAAUAAAAAAAUGAUUAUAUUAAAAAUUUAAAAUGAUUAAAAAUAAAAUAAAAAUAAAAUAAUAUAUAAUUCGGGCCGGGCCGGGCCGAGCCCGGGCCAAAAAACUCUUACCCGAGGCCAGGCCCGUUUUCUAAAUGGGCCUCGUUUUUUGCCUAAGCCUAUUUUUCGGGCCUAUAUUUUUACCCAAACCCUCCCAUUUUUCGGGCUGGCCUUCGGGCCGAGCGGCCCAACUCUAGUAGUAACGUAAUAGUGUUUUUAUUAUUUUAUUAUUUUUACCUUUUUAUUACUAUUAUUAUUAACCUACUAUUAUUAUUUUUAUAAAUAUAGUAUUAUUUUUUUAUAUAUUGUUAUUAUUAUUAGCACGUAUAUUAUUAUUAUUAAUGUGUCAUUGUUAUUUUUUAUUUUAUUAUUACUUUUAUUACUAUUGUUUCUAUUAUUAUUAUUUUCAUUACUUCCAUUAUUAUUAUCGUUAUUUUCUAUUAUCAUUAAUAUGUCGUUUGUUUAUUAUUAUUAUUAUUAUUAUUAUUAUUAACACUAUUAUCAUCAUUAUAUUUAAUUUUUUUUAAAUAUUAUUACCACUAUAUUAUUAUUAUUACUAUUAUUUUUAUUAUCCGUCCUAUUUUUAAACUAUUUCAUUCAAUAUUUUGUUAUACAUGUGUUUAUUUGCUCACUUCCUGUUUAAAUUAAAUUUUCAUUCGAAUUUUUUUUUUAUUCCAUUUUUUUAUCUCAAUAUUAUUUUACUUAUUAUUAUUUUUGUCUGGAUUUUUCAAGUAAAGGCAAUAUUCGGUAAUUGAAAAUUCGAGAAAUCGUGUCCUAACGUACUGGGUUUCAGUUUUUCUUUUGAUCUAAGUAACCGGUUAUCCUUUUAAAUUAAAAUACAUGAGUUUUAAAUAAAAUAAAGGCAAUAUCCCGUAUUUAGAAAUUCGAAUAGUCGUGCCCUAACGUAUUGGGUUUCGAUUUUUUCAUUUGAUCUAAAUAUCCGAAUAUCCUUUUUAAAAUUUAAAUACAUGAGUUUUAAAUGAAAUAGAAGGCAAGCUCAUACUCGAGGGUCGAGGUGUUGUGUCCUAACGUACUGGAUAUAACGUUUUACCUUGAGAUGAAACGGUCCUUGACAUGCGUUUCAAUUCAUCCAAAUACCUUAAAAAAGCAUUAACACUAAGAGAGAUCGUAUUUUAAACUCUUGUCAAAUUUUCAAUUUUCAACAUUAAAACACUGAAAAAUCAAUUAGGUACCAAAUUUGGGCGUGACGAGGGUGAUAACCCUUCCUCGCAUGUAAUCGACUCCUGAACCCGUUUUUCGAAUUUCGUAGACCCAAAAUCAUUGUUUUACUAAAUUAAAAUGUUUUAUUAAAAUGGUCAAUCUUAAGGUGAUCCGACCACACCUCGAAAAAAGAUCGGUGGCGACUCUAAACUUUUGUUUUAAAAAGUCGAUUCCCAUUUUUCAAAAAAUAGUUUCGACAAAUAUUAUAUUGAUUUUUGAUCCGAUAAUUUUAAUGAAUGAUUAGUAAUUAAGGUAUAAGAACUAAAUCGUAAAAAGUUAAUUGCUAUGGAAUUUUAUUUGGUUAAAGGACCAAAUAAACUAUUAGACCUAUUAUUUUAUAUAGAUAAUUAUGAUUAUUGAUAAUUAAACAAAGCUUAAUUAGUUUAAUCUUUAAUUAAUUAGUGUUAAUUAUGGUAUAUAAGUUAAAAUAAAAAGAAAAGAUGACAUUGUCAUCAUAUUUUCAUCUUUUCCUCUCCUCUUUGAUCGUCCAUAGCUAAGGAAAGUUAGGGUUUGAGUUUUAAAGGUUUGAUCUUCAAAUUGGUAAGUGAUUUUCAACAUAUUUCUUAUAAUUUUUAUAUUUUUAAGAUCGCGAUAACUCAAUUCAACUAACUCGCACUUUAUUGCUCAAAAUUGUUUAAGAUUUUAAAAGUUUCUAUUGAUGAAUCUUAAAGCUUUUGAGUACUAAAUUGUUAGAUUUGAAGCUUAGAUAUGAAAAAAGACUAAUUUGUAAACUGAAAAUUGAUUAGUUUUGAGUUUAGGGACUAAAAUGUAACUAUUUAGAAAUUGUCGUGGAAUUUCUAUAAUUAUGAAUUUUAGAGAGUUAUAAAUGGAUGAAAUUGCAAAAUGGAUUGAAAAACAAAGCUUAAAUGUGAUAGAUAUAGUUUCGGUUUUAGGGACUAAAUUGAAUAAAAUGUGAAACUUUAGAGAAGUUGUGAAAGAUAAAAUUAAGUUUUCAUAUGCAUAGAAUUAAAUGUUUUAAGAUAAUUGGAACUGAAAUUUUGAAAUGAAUUAUUAUAUAGAUCAAGAAUUAAAUCAACCAGAAGAUAAAUGUGGAAAAAGAAAAAUUGCGAAGUAGUCCCCUGAGUCGUACUUGUUGCUUUUUUGUUUAGAUAAGUUCGUACGUGAUUUCCCUUGUUAAUACAUAUUAUUGUUGUGUUAAUUAUUACUUGUGAGUUGAGUUGUUUUAAAAUGGCCAUUGUUCAUAUUGAAGGGACUAAAUUGCAAGGUACAGUAUAUGUGCCUAGAGUGAAUAAUUAGAUGAUAUGGAAUGAAUAUGGAUUUUUAUAAUGAUGAAAAGGAUACGAGGAUUGAUUUAAGGCUCGUGUGAACUUAGUAAAUGACUAAGAUACGAAUGACAUGCCAUUAGGGUCUAAAUGGUAACAAGUACUAGUACCAAUGGUUGAGAUGCUACAUGUGUUGUAGAUUCUGCACAACUCGUGUGAGCAGCAUCGUAUAAAGUUCAAAGUUCUGAUUCACAGCUCAUGUGAGCUAGGGGUGAGCAUUCGAUCGAAUCAAAUCGAAAAUUUUCGAGUUAAUCAAGUUUUUGAAUCUUAUUUUAUCAUCCUAACUUUAUUUGAAAUUUUCUCGAAUCGAGUCGAGUGAGAUGGAAUUCGAAUCGAAUCGAAUAUAUUUGUUCGAGUUAAAUUUUUAAAAAAAUGACUCGUUUUUUUAUUUUUAUGUAAUUUUUAAAAAAAAUAUAUUUUUCUUUAAAGUUUUUAAACAUGAACCAAUUACAUAAGGAUAAAAAUCAUAAGAGAAUUUACUAAUUACAACUUGAGCCAAUAAUACAAAAUUAAUUAACUAAGUUUUAAAAAAAUUUCUUAUAAAUUAGUAAACCCCUAACUGCUGUAGGUUUUUUCUUCUUCAAUCAUUGAAGAAAAAUUAGCUAAUUCAUAAGGAUAAAAAUCAUACGAGAAUUUACUAAUUACAACUUGAACUAGUAAUACAAAAUUAAUUAACUAAGUUUUAAAAAAAAAUUCUUACAAAUUAGUAAACCCCUAGGAAACAGUAAUAUCCUUAUGAAUUAAUAAUUUCUUAAUUUAAAUAUUGUAAAACUCUAACGAGAAAAUCAUACGAGUUUCAAGAAAUAAAGCUUCAAUCAAACUGUAAAAAUUGAUGUGAGGUACUUUUACUUCUUUAGAUAACACUUACUAACACAUUACAACAGUUUUUUUUCCAGUAGAUUCAUCAACUAAAUCCAGAUAAAAAAAAAUCAUAUGGGUCUGGGUUUUCCCUUUCCAGAAGUAAAUCCAGAUAAAAACCAUUGAAUCAAAACACAGUCUUCAAGAUUUUGUUUUCCCUUUCUAAAUGGUAAAUCCCCACAAAUUCAGUUUCUUUUUCCUUAAAUGAAUUGUAACCUUCUCCACAACAGUAAACAGGUAAAUGGAGAAGGAAAAUAGAGCGAGCCAAAAAUCAUUCAAUGGAGCGAAAGCGAAACUGAAACAGAUGCAAAUAGAGCAAAUAUAAUUCAAUAAUUCACAAAUGUUUCAAGAGUCAAGACAAACCUUAAAGAUGCAAAAAAUUCGAGCUUAAAAUGGAAGAGAACAAAGUGCCUCUGUCAGAAGGAACAACAGCUCGAUUUGGAGGUAAGGACUAAGGAUUUUGAUUUGAAGCUUUGAAUGAAAUAGAAGAAGAAGAAGGAAGAACCGAAGAAGUGUUUAUUUUAGGGUUUUUUUGAGAAAAAUAGAUUUUAAAAUUUGAUUUUCGUGGAAAUGGUAUGGAUGUUGUUUGUAGAGAAUAAGAAAAUUGAUUUGGGGUUUGGUUUGGACUUUGGAAGAUGGAAUUGGCUGGGGCAUGACAUGGGGGGAUUUUCGGGAGGAAUUGGGUUUUGGAAAAUAAAGUUUUG
rnacentral:lncRNA from 1 species